AGAAGAAGAAAAGACGAGUAGGUUAGAAACUUAAAAUAUGCAGACAAAAACAAGUGCGUUGAACUUAUCUGCAUCACAAGUAUAGAUCCCGUGACACCACAGCAUGGCCAACUUUUCGGUUCACGGGACCACCGUCUGCAUGCAGUACUGCUCCUCCCAUACCUUCCCACCACCACCAAUAAUAUUCCCUUGCUUCUCAUUCCCCUAUAAAACCCACCAACUUUGGAGUUCCAAAAUCCACAACCUUAACGCACCAAAUAAUUCCUAUAAGAAAAGAUAUGGAGGGUGCUCGUCAAAAGCUGGUCGUAGUUUUGGCUGCUGUGGUUUUGGUUGCAAUUGCAGGCAAUGGCGGUUUUGUUCAGGUUGCUAAUGCUCAGAACAUAUGCAACGUCUCUGUCACCGAUUUGAUGAAGUGUAGGCCGGCUGUGACUUCUCCGAAUCCGGCACCGCCUACUAAAGCCUGCUGCGCCGCGCUGUCGCACGCCAACCUGAGCUGCCUUUGCUCCUACAAGAACUCCAGUGUCUUGCCUUCUCUGGGAAUUGACCCUAACCUUGCCCUACAGCUUCCCGCCAAGUGCAAGCUUCCCCAUCCUGCCAAUUGCUAGACAGAGCGACGUACACAAUGGUCUAAUCAACAAACAUGAUUUAGUUACGAUUAAGAUAUGAUUAAUCGUGUAAUCAUGUACAACUUUGGAUAAUUAAUAUGCUUUCCUAUGUGUAAUGUAAGCAUGUUUAGUUGGAUGUGUGCGUUUGUCCAAUUUGCUAUCAUGUUAUGUAAUAUUAUUAAUAAUACAAAUCUCGUUUUUUUUUUUUUUUCCGGUAACAAGCCUCUUUGAAUACAAAUUUUAGGGACAGGACUUACCACAGGCCUCUUUCAAUACAAAUCUCGGCUUUCACAUAAGUGGUUACGUUCAAAUUAUUGAAUAUAUAAUUAAGAUUGCAGUCACAUAUUUCACAUAUAACUCUAGUUUUUUUAUAUGGUUUUCGAGAGAAGAAAUUUAUUAAGCUAAUAGGCUCCAGCAAGUGAGGAAUAUCUCCCAUCAAAAUUUCACAAGUAUUAUCUCUACUAAUUAAUGAAAUCCUUUUUGUCAACCAAAAGAAAGUGAAAAAAACAAUUAGUCUUCUAUCACAAAAAAAAAAAAAUUGAUGGGCAAUAAUGUAAUUUCACAGGUUCAAAUUUUAUUGUUUUUUAUUAAAACCUCACCUACAGGUGAUGUUAAAAUACCUCCAAUAUUAUUAUAAAAAAAACAACCAUAAACAAAAACCUUCCACUCCACCCAUGUUCUCUCUCUCUCCCUCUCUCCUUCUCAUUUUCUAAAAAAAAUGUGUUCAUACACACAAAGUGUGUAGGCAAAUGUUAGUAAUUAUUAAGAUGAUUAAGAUCUAAAGAUUCCUAAUCCUUCAACAGUGUGUGUGUGUGUGUGUGUGUGUGUGUGUGUGUGUGUGUGUGUGUGUGUAAUAACUGAACAACACUUUGGUUCCACAUUAAUUUGUAAAGAAAUUCCUUCACAAUUUUGUGAAGCCAAAAAAUUGUUCUUAAAAUGAUUCGUCGUCCAAAUGUGCUGAUGCAUCAACACAAUUUAAGAAAUUAAUUGGCAAUUUUAAGUCCCACGUUAAAUAUCCAAAGGUUAAAAUAUACUUUUGAGUUUUACUAUGAACUCUUGGAUAAUAUAAUAUAUACACGAAUGCAUUUUGAGUUGAGCAUAAUUCUUGUACAAAAUAAACAAAUGAACCUCUUAUACCAUAAGCUUUUAUGGAGAAGACGAGCAUCAUCUCCAAUAAUGUACAUACAAACGGGGGCCGUCAGACCGAUCUACUGGCGUCUACGGACGGUUCAACGCUCGAUGGAGAUACCUCUGCGCCGUAAUCCCAGAAUUGUUUCAGCUCGCGCCUUAUCAGUCCCAAAAUCACUACAACACCUGGUGACCAGAGAAGGAAUAAGAAGGCAAAGUAAAAUAUCUGCAAAUUUUAUCGGCCUAAAAUUGGAAAAACGCGUCUAGAAAACCAAACAGAAGAUGUAAGAUCAAUGCGCUGGAGAUUACCUAGUGUACAUGGAACGAGAUAGAGGAGUGCAGGCUGGCCGUUGCCAUUCAUGAGAUACAAACCCAGGUAAGUAAGACCGUGUCCUGGAAAAGGAAUAACGUUCCAUUUAAGACCGUGUCCUGGAAAAGGAAUAACGUUCCAUUAGUACCACAUGAGACAAUAUGGACAUGUUUAGUUCGAUCAUGCUGCAGUCUGCUAUUAAAAGGAAAUGAAAUAAAUACAGGAGCGUGAAAAUCACUACCGUAUCCAGAAUUCUAAUAACUAGGGCAAAUAAUACUAAUAACUACGGCAAGAACAAAAGAAGAAGAAAAGACAAGUAGGUUAGAAACUUAACAUAUGCAGACAAAAACAAGUGCGUUGAACUUAUCUGCAUCACAAGUAUAGAUCCCGUGACACCACAGCAUGGCCAACUUUUCGGUUCACGGGACCGCUGUCUGCAUGCAGUACUGCUCCUCCCAUUCCUUCCCACCACCACCACCACCACCAAUAAUAAUCCUUUGCUUCCAAGGUUAUAAAAAAACUAGGUGCUAGUUAGGCGGCAAACUGAGAUCUAAUGCCUAGGCGGUUAGGUGAGGCCUAGAAGGUGUCUGGGCGGACUAUGCGGAUUUAAGUAAAUUUAUUAUAUUUCGUAUAAAUAAAUAUUUGUUUAUACUUAAUAUUAUAUAUAUAUAUAUAUAUAUAUAAUUUCAUCACAAACUACAAAAUAGAAUGAUAUAUAUAUAUAUAUAUUAUGAAGUAUUGGAACACACUGAAAACAUGGGGAACAAACAUAUAAUGUGUGUUCAAUUAAGUAUUCAACAAGUCUCGCUUUCAAUUGAUUGAAAAAAAAAUGCAAAAUGAAAGUUAUCUAUUUUCUGUCUAAGUGAGUCGCAACCUAGACGAGUACUUAGACGGGCCUGGGAGGGCUAGGCAGGUGCCUAGGCGGUCUAGGCACCCCUUCUUAAUUUUGAAAUGCUUAGGCAUUAAUUGGGGUUGUGGCCAGCCGCCUAGCGCCGGGGAUUUUUAGAACAGUGUUUGCUUCUCAUUCCCCCUAUAAAACCCACCAACUUUGGAGCUCCAAAAACCACAACCUUAACGCACCAAACAAUUCCUAUAAGAAAAGAUAUGGAGGGUGCUCGUCAAAAGCUGGUCGUAGUUUUGGCUGCUGUGGUUUUGGUUGCAAUUGCAGGCAAUGGCGGUUUUGUUCAGGUUGCUAAUGCCCAGAACAUAUGCAACAUCUCUGUCACCGGUUUGAUGACUUGCAGGCCGGCUGUGACUUCUCCGAAUCCGGCACCGCCUACAAAAGCCUGCUGCGCGGCGCUGUCGCACGCCAACCUGAGCUGCCUUUGCUCCUACAAGAACUCCAGUGUCUUGCCUUCUCUGGGGAUUGACCCUAACCUUGCCCUACAGCUUCCCGCCAAGUGCAAGCUUCCCCAUCCUGCCAAUUGCUAGACAGAGCUACGUACAAAAUGGUGCAAUAAACAAACAUGAUUUAGUUACGAUUAAGAUAUGAUUAAUCGUGCAAUCAUGCACAACUUAGGAUAAUUAAUAUGCUUUCCUAUAUGUAAUGUAAGCAUCUUUAUAGUUUGGAUGUGUGCGUUUCUUUUGUCGUUCUAUUUCAAUUUGCUAUCAUGUUUUCGAUAUAAUGUAAUAUUAUUAAUAAUACAAAUCUCGGUUUUCUUUUUUUUUUCUUUUUUUCUUUUUCCGGUAACAAGCCUCUUUGAAUACAAAUUUUAGAAACGGAACUUACCACAAGCCUCUUUGAAUACAAAUCUCGGUUUUCACAUAAGUGGUUACGUUCAAAUUAUGGAAUAUAUAAUUAAGAUUGCAGUCACCUUUUUUCACAUAGAACUCUAGUUUUUUUGUAUGGUUUUCGAGAGAAAUGGAAUUUAUUAAGCUAAUAGGCUCCAGCAAGUGAGGAAUAUCCCCCAUCAAAAUUUCACGAGUAAUAUAACUAUUAAGGUGAUUAAGAUCUAAAGAUUCCUAAUCUUUCAACAAUAUAUAUAUAUAUAUGGGAUAAGAUCAAGGGACAAAUAUUUUUACAAAUACUUUUACACUCUUUUUAAGCCUUUUGAUUACAUGACAUCCAAUGGUUCUUAUUUAUUCAUUAAAUGACAUGGAUGCUUAUGUGGAUUUUAACUAAUAUUAAAGAUAAAAAAAAACAGAAAAAAAAAUAUAAAACUGGAAAAUUAAAACUAAAAUUAAAAAAGGAAGAAGCUCUAGUUGUACACAUUCCUCCUUCUCCCCCUUUGCUAAUGUGGUUUUGCAACUUCAUGUCCUGGAUUGAUACGAAAUUAUGAUGCCUUCUACAAGAAGCUCUAGUUGUGAUUUCUGCAGCUCUCGUUUCAAAUUUCCAACCAUCUUGCCGACCCCAACCUAUAGCAUGACCUGCAACAUGAAGUUGCAAAACCACAUCAGCAAAGGGGGAGACGGAGGACUACGUACAACUAGGGUUUCUUCCUUUUUUUAAUUUUAGUUUUCAUUUUCCAGAUUUUAUGUUUUUUUUAGUUUUAUUUUAUCUUUAAUAUUAGUUAAAAUCCACAUACGCAUCUAUGUCAUUUAAUGAAUAAAUAAGAACAAUUAGAUGUCAUGUGUUUGUACCAUACUUGACCAAUCCCGAAACUACUGAGCACCGGUCAACGUUAUACCGUCAAGGACCCAGAAGAGUUUCCCUCCAACCAGGUGGAGGCCAAUCACAGCGCGACACGUGUCGAUAUCAGAAGCCAAUCAUAGCGCGACACGUGUCAACAUCAGAAGUCAAGCACAACACGACACGUGUCAAUGUCAGAACAAAGCUAGAAACUCUCUUCUAUAAAAGGAGAUCAUUCUCCCACAAUAUUUCCUAAUGUCAUUUGUACUAAAUCAUUCACUAGUACUCACUAAAUGAGAGCUUGAAUCUAUGUACUUGUGUAAACCCUUCAUAAUUAAUGAGAACUCCUCUACUCCGUGGACGUAGCCAAUCUGGGUGAACCACGUAGAUCUUGUGUUUGCUUCCCUGUCUCUAUCCAUUUACAUACUUAUCCACACUAGUGACCGAAGCAAUCUAGCGAAGGUCACAAACUUGACACUUUCUGUUGUACUAAAGUUCUCACUGAUUUUGUGCAUCAACAUCAUGUAAUCAAAAAGCUUAAAAAGAAUGUAAAAGUAUUUGUAAAAAUAUUUGUCCUUUGAUCCUAUCCCUAUAUAUAUAUAUAUAUAUAUAUAUAUGGGAGCAAAGUUGCAUUUGAUCGAAUGAAAUUACCGGAACAUCCUCAAAAAAAAACAUAAAAGUUGGGUUAUGACAGUUUGAGAGGCUAAUUCUAAAAUAAUAAGAGAGAAAUUAAUUAAAAGGAAAACUAAUGAAAAGGGCUUGAAAACUUUGAGUUUUAAUGAUAAGGACAAAAUAAAGGGUAAAGUGAAUAGUACCAGGAUUGACUUUUUAGUGUAAAAAUGUGGUUUUUCGUUAAAGUGAACAGUACCGGGUGCUUUUCGUUAAAGUUCCCUUAAUUAAAACUGGAGACCGUUUAGUUGGUCAAACAUAAACAAAAAGAUAAAUGGCCUACCAACUCAAACCAUCUAUUCCAACCUCAAAUUUUAUAAUUCAUUGCAAAAUUGUUUUUUGCAUAGUGAAUUAUAAUAUGAACGGUUCCAAUAACUGAACAACACUUUGGUUCCGCAUUAAUUUGUAAAGAAAUUCCUUCACAAUUUUGUGAAGCCAAAAAAUUGUUCUUAAAAUGAUUCGUCGUCCAAAUGUGCUGAUGCAUCCACACAAUUUAAGAAAUUGAAUUGGCAAUUUUAAGACCACGUUAAAUAUCCAAAGGUUAAAAUAUACUUUUGAGUUUUACUAUGAACUCUUGGAUAACAUAAUAUAUACAUGAAUGCAUUUUGAGUUGAGCAUAAUUCUUGUACAAAAUAAACAAAUGAACCUCUUAUACCAUAAGCUUUUAUGGAGAAGACGAGCAUCAUCUCCAAUAAAGUACAUACAAACGGGGGCCGUCAGACCGAUCUACGUACUGGCGUCUACGGACGGUUCAACGCUCGAUGGAGAUACCUCUGCGUUGUAAUACCAGAGUUGUUUCAGCUCGUGCCUUAUCAGUCCCAAAAUCACUGUAACACCUAGUGACCAGAGAAGGAAUAGAAGGCAAAGUAAAACAUCUGCAAAUUUUACCGGCCUAAAAUUGGAAAAACGCGUCUAGAAAACCAAACAGAAGAUGUAAGAUCAAUGCGCUGGAGAUUACCUAGUGUACAUGGAACGAGAUAGAGGAGUGCAGGCUGGCCGUUGCCAUUCAUGAGAUACAAACCCAGGUAAGUAAGACCGAGUCCUGGAAAAGGAAUAACGUACCAUUAGUACCACAUGAAGACAAUAUGGACAUGUUUAGUUCGAUCAUGCUGCAGUCUGCUAUUAAAAGGAAAUGGAAUAAAUACAGGAGCGUGAAAAUCACUACCGUAUCCAGAAUUCUAAUAGCUAGGGCAAGUAAUACUAAUAACUAGGGCAAGAACAAAAGAAGAAGAAAAGACGAGUAGGUUAGAAACUUAAAAUAUGCAGACAAAAACAAGUGCGUUGAACUUAUCUGCAUCACAAGUAUAGAUCCCGUGAAACCACAGCAUGGCAACUUUUCGGUUCACGGGACCGCUGUCUGCAUGCAGUACUGCUCCUCCCAUUCCUUCCCACCACCACCACCAAUAAUAAUCCUUUGCUUCUCAUUCCCCCUAUAAAACUAAAGCAGCAGAGAACCGACUGGCUGCGUGCAUUCCCUCCACAACACCCCAACGCGUAAGUUAAUCAGGAUGGAUCGACAGGCUUUCCAAACCUACAGGUCUCUAUGGAGGGUGCUCGUCAAAAGCUGGUCGUAGUUUUGGCUGCUGUGGUUUUGGUUGUAAUUGCAGGCAAUGGCGGUUUUGUUCAGGUUGAUAAUGCUCAGAACAUAUGCAACGUCUCUGUCACCGAUUUGAUGACUUGCAGGGCGGCUGUGACUUCUCCGAAUCUGGCACCGCCUACAAAAGCCUGCUGCGCGGCGCUGUCGCACGCCAACCUGAGCUGCCUUUGCUCCUACAAGAACUCCAGUGUCUUGCCUUCUCUGGGGAUUGACCCUAACCUUGCCCUACAGCUUCCCGCCAAGUGCAAGCUUCCCCAUCCUGCCAAUUGCUAGACAGAGCGACGUACACAAUGGUCUAAUCAACAAACAUGAUUUAGUUACGAUUAAGAUAUGAUUAAUCGUGCAAUCAUGUACAACUUCGGAUAAUUAAUAUGCUUUCCUAUAUGUAAUGUAAGCAUUGUGGAUGCAAAUUUCUUCCUCUUGAUCUUGGACAAUUUUGCACCUACAAAACAAUUAACACCUUAGAUUAAGGCCAAGAGCCUCCGAUGCCAAAGUUAGAAUUUAGAGAGAAAGAGUGUUUAGAGAAUUUUGGGAUUUUUGCCAAAGUGUUGGAAUUUUUUCUCCCUUUUUUGGUGAGAAUGGGAGUAUAUUUAUAGGGAUAGGAGGUGGCUAGGGUUUUUUGGGUUUAAUUAGGAGUUACAAAAUAAUUAGCCAAUAACUCCCUAAUUAACUUGGCUAAUUAUUUGUCAUACAAAGGAAAAAAGGUAGAAGGAUGAAAGAUGGCCGGCCUUUUUGUGGGAGUUAGGGUAAAGUGAAUGGUCUAAAUGCUAAUUAAGAGAAUGAUUAGCUCAUUAUCAUUAUUUUAGAAGGAAUGUUUUAGGAAUUAUGGAAUAGGUAUAAUAUUUAGCUAAUUGAUUAGCUAAAUAAUGAAAUAGGAAAUAUAUGAAUAAAUUAGGUUUUAAGUUGAUAUCUAUUUUGGGCACUUUUGACUUGGUUGAGGGAUAAUUGCAUGCUGCUUGCGCAUGGGAAUCCCCCAAAGGUAGUUUUGUCUUCUUUUGUCAAAAAUUCACGUGUCGCCUUGUGAAUAUUUUUGGCUCCACAAGCAUGUUUAGUUUGGAUGUGUGCGUUUCUUUAGUCAUUCUAGUUCAAUUUGCUAUCAUGUUUUCGAUAUCGAAUAUGUAAUAUUAUUAAUAAUACAAAUCUCGGUUUUUUUUUCUUUCUUUUGUUUUUCUUUUUUUCUUUCGGUAACAAGCCUCUUUGAAUACAAAUUUUAGGGACGGGAUUUACCACAUGCCUCUUUCAAUACAAAUCUCGGUUUUCACAUAAGUGGUUACGUUCAAAUUAUGGAAUAUAUAAUUAAGAUUGCAGUCACAUAUUUCACAUAUAACUAGUUUUUUUAUAUGGUUUUCGAGAGAAAAGAAAUUUAUUAAGCUAAUAGGCUCCAGCAAGUGAGGAAUAUCUCCCAUCAAAAUUUCACCAGUAUUAUAAUUAUUAAGAUGAUUAAGAUCUAAAGAUUCCUAAUCCUUAUAUAUAUGAAACCUUUAAGGGAAGGAUCCCCAUUUUUUUUAUAAAAAUGGGGAUUAGUUAUAAGGUUCACACCACAUCGAAUUUUAACGAUCAAAACCGUCUAUUUUUCAAGUUUUACCUCAUAGAUCAUUCUUGCAAUAUAUUAGCCAAAUCCAAAAUGUUUAAGACAUCUAAUUGAGUUCAAAGAAAUUAAUGAAUACUUUGUUAUAUAAGAAACAAUGAAAUUUUAUCUUACUUACAAAAUAGACGGUUUUAUAUAUAUCUAAAUGGGGAGUGAAGCGACUAUCUACUGAUAAUGGUAGAAAUUAUGAGGACAACAGUCAAGACUACAGUCAUUAUGAUUAUUGGGAGUGCAAAUAUCAUACCAAAUGUUAUUAACAGAUAGGAAGAAGACGAUGAAAGAUUGGUCGGUAUUUACCUUGAAUUUGAGAUACUCAAUGAAUUGACUGUGAUUAAGAAGACGAUGUUAUAAACAGAUAGGAUACCUUGAAUUUGAGAUACUCAAUGAAUUGACUAUGAUUAAGAAGACGAUGUUAUAAACAGAAUUUGAGAUACUCAAUGAAUUGACUGGGAAGUUUUAAUAAUUUCUGAAUCCCAAUAAUCAUAAUGACUGUAGUCUUGACUGUUGUCCUCAUAAUUUCUACCAUCAUCAGUAGAUAGUCGAUCUGCUCCCCAUUUGGUAUCAGAGUCAAAUGAAUGGUAAUUGCAUUAGCAUCUUCUUAAUCUGCAAGUCAAGUUCAUUUUUAGUCUUUCAAUCUACAGUCUAUCUUAUCUGUUAAUCUUCUAAGUAUGUUUGUUCGACUCCCCAACCAAACAGUAAGGCAUGUUCCAAACAAUAAGUCCCAGGAGAGGCAUAAGUGGAUUGCAUGAGCGGGGAAGAAGUUUAGCUAAUACGCGAGGAAGGUGACACAUUUAAGUUUUCUGUAUUUUGUUUGCCUGUAUUGUGAACUUCAUGAGUAGAUUAUUUAGAUCUAAUUCAAUGGCCAGCACUAGCUCUAGAUACAGCCUAGGUACAAUUCCAGAUAUUGUUAAUGAAGAACAAAAACUUGAUUUUCAAACUGGUGAAAGUGUUGACUUUGGAGAUUGGAAUAUCCCCAAGGUUUCAAGUAAAAAUAUUUACAAAAAGAAAUGGUUAGUAGCUUCAUUUAGAAGUGAACAUCAUGUUAAGACAGUUGAAAAAGCUUAUGCUCUUAGUAAAGAACAUGAAACUUGUCAAUUGUUUUCCCCUAAACAAAUUAAAACACACAGAAAAGAUGGUCAUAACUAUAUCCAUAUAGGCUUAGUUCAAAUAGCCGUAAAACCUUUAACACGUAGAGACCUUAACACCUCUAUUUUGUUAUGUCUCCGAGAUGCUAGAUUCACUAAUUUUAGUGAUAGCAUCCUUGGAAUGAUUGAAUCCAGUCUUUCCAGUGGACCUAUCCAUUUUGAUUGUUUUCCAGACCUUACCAUAAGUCUUUCAGAUCCUCAUAUGCUGAAAGCACUCACAUUAAACAUUAAACUUCAGGAUACCAAGUCCUUGAAGGAACACAGCCUUUGGCAUUAUUAUAUCGAGUUUACUAUAAAGUCAUUGGCACAAAUAUGAAUUUCCAGGUUUUAACCAAAAGUCCUAGAGAUCAUACACUUUUAAUCCAAACAAAUCAAGAAAAUGCAAACAUCAAAGUUCCCAGAACCAUUAGGUCGUCAGAUAUCAGUAUACCUUCAGAUUGGUGUUUGAUUAAUGAAAGCAAACCAGUAGCCAUCCAAAAUAGUCUAGUCAAUCUAGACAACAUAGAACAAUAUUUUGACGGGACCGCUAAAAUCAACUUUGACCGUUCAACCAGAAAAUCUUGUGAGUCCACUCAAUCACAUAGAUCAUUUGCUCCUAGCAAAAAUUCUUUUUCUGGAUCCAUACCAACCGAUAGGAUGAGUCAAGAUUAAGAGUUAAUCAAUUCAUUAGCCAAUAGGAAAUUAAAAGCAGUAGACACUAGUUCAUCUGUUACCCAACAAGAAUUAAUCAAUGAUUUGAUUAAUAUCAAAUUAAAAUCAGUAGAAACAACUUCCCAAAUAACACAUCCGAGAUAUCAAUCUCACACCCAAGUUCAGGGAGAACAAACUUCUCCAACAAAAUCUGAUUUCGAAGCAGGUCAGAUUAAUCAUAAACUCUUAGUUCUAAACAAACCUUUCAAAUGGAACAAGAAACGGCUCAAUGCUGAUAUUGAAGCCACAAAAAAUAUUCCCAGAAGGAAUGUUUUCAUAAACAAAUAUACAAAAAAAUAAAAAUUGGAAAUUUACAAAGAAUUGACUAAUUUUAUGGAAACCCACAGAUUUGAAGUAUUUUUCUUUGAUUAUGUUGAAAAGUACUAUGAGUCUGCAAUAAAUUAGAGGUAAUAACCAAGGAAAAUUGGCUUAAAGAAAACAAAACCGUUGUCUCUUCCAGCCAUCCCCCGCAAGAAACAAUCCUCAUCACAACUGCCAAUACCCAAAUUCCAGCUACUCCUUUUAAGCUUCCCAAGGAAGAUGCAGGAGUUAAACCUGUCAUUGAGCAGAAUAAAUUCACUAACCAGAGUCUACAUACCAUAGGAAAACAGUUAGAUAAAAUAGAAACAAAGAUAGAUAAACUUUCUCAACCAAAACCAAUACACAAAGAAAAACCAUUAAUCAACUUUCCAAAAUCUUCUUCCAACCCAAUUGCUUUAAAGACAAUGUCCACAAGACAAAAAAUAGAAUAGAUGUUACAACAACUAAAACAAGAAAAAACAAUCAAUGUUUUACAAAAUCAAGAAGAGUCUCAUGUAGAAACAAAUUCUACAAUAUGAGAUUCAGAAAAUGAAGCUGACACAGAUUCCAUAAAGAAAGUGGAACAAGCUUUUCAAAACCUUGAACUCAAAAGGUUAACAACAAACGUGUUAAUCCAACAUCCCUCACAAAAAAACUGGUAUCCCAGACCUACAUCUCCUGAUAUUCAAUUUGAAGAAAGAAAUAUCCAAAAUCAAUUUUCCGUCUCUUCUGAUAAACUCUAUGAAUGGAAUAUAGAUGGCUUAUCAGAACAAGAACUCUUAAAUAAACUCCAACAUAUCUCUAUGGUUGCUAAUAGCUAUAUCACCAAUCAUAAUCUCAGCCAAACACAAGUUGUCGACCUUUUGGUCACUGGAUUUACUGGAAUGCUCCAUUCCUGGUGGGAGAAACCUCUCAAUGAACAAUCCAGAAAUGAAAUAAAACACGCAAUCAAAAGAGAUGAAAAAGGAAUACCCAUCUUCGAUGAACAAAUAGGACAAGGCGUCCCUGACGCAGUCAACACAUUACUCUUCACAAUCAUAGAACAUUUUAUAGGAACAUCUAGUAAUGUCACAUCCAGGAUCCAUGAUCAACUUGGUAAUUUAAGAUGUCCUACAUUAAGCGACUUUAGAUGGUACAAAGAUGUAUUCAUGUCUAGAGUUAUGCUUAGAGAAGAUAGUAAUCAACCAUUUUGGAAAGAAAAAUUUAUUAAUGGAUUACCAAACCUCUUUGCUCAUAAAAUUAGAAAUGUCUUAAACAACGAAGAAGGAGUCAUAUCAUACCAUACCCUUACUUAUGGUAAUAUAAUUAAUAUUAUCCAGAAGGAAGGCUUGAAAAUGUGUAUAGAUAUGAAAAUCUUAAAACAAGUUAACAAAGAUAAUUCCAUCACUAAGUAUGAAUUAGGAACGUUCUGUGAAUAAUAUGGACUACCUCCUAUUGCUCCAUCAAAUAAAAAGAGAAAAUCACAAGUCUAUAACAAGUAUUCCAAUAGAUACUAAAGUAGAAAAUACCCCAGAUACAACAAAUACAAAUCUAAAAAUAAAACUUUUGAAACCAACAAGUUUUACGAAAAAUCCAAGACUGAUAAGUCAAAAAGGAAACUCUCAGGGAAAUUUCCCUCCAAUGACCAAAAAGGAAAAUGCUACAAGUGUGGCAAAUUUGACCAUUAUUUAAAGAAAACGAUUAGUCAGUUAAAAAUCUCUGAUGAAGAGAAACUUCAAUAAGUCCAAGUUUUAGAAGUUAGAGACACAGAUUAUAGGCAGUCAGAGGAUGAUGUACAGUCGUCUUCUUUAGAAAGCAACUCAUCUAGUAGUUUUUCAUCACCCGAUAUUAAAUUAGGUUGUACUGAUACCUGUUGCAAUAACAAGAUUUCAGUACUCAACAAACAAGAAGAACUAGAGAAUCUUCUUAUUGAAUUAAUUAGCAAGGUCGAUGACUCAGAAUUAAAAUCAUUUUACCUCCAGAAACUAAAGAAAUUAGUUUCUCCAGAAGAACCUAGCACUAGCCAAUCCCAACAAAUUCCAAAAAUAUCUCUUAGCACAACCUUGGAAAUGUUCAAUAAGUCUAAGAAAGAAAUCACAGUUAAAGAUCUCCAAACAAAAAUUAAUAAAAUCAAAGAUGAAAUUAGAUUUUUAAAAUCUGAAAAAUUUAGAAGUUUGUACUCACCUUAGUAAAAUUCGGACACAAGCACUCAUCAAAGAAGAAGAAUGCAGUAGUUCCUCUUCAGAUCACAAUUCAGAUGCUCAGUCGAGCAAACAUUCCACACAAGACUUAGUCUUAGGUCUCUUAGACAAGAUAAGAAUCUAGAAAUGGUAUUCUAAAAUUAAAAUAAUAAUUGAAGACUUUCAUUUAGAAACAAUUGCUUUGAUUGAUUCCGGUGCAGACUUGAAUUGUAUUCAAGAAUGAUUAAUUCCUACUAAGUAUUUUCAUAAGUCAACAGAGAUACUUAGUGCUGCUAAACAGUCACCAAUGCAAUUAAAAUAUGAAAUACCUAAAGCACAUGUUUGUCAAAACAAUAUUUGUUUUAAAACCCCAUUUGUUUUAAUAAAAAAACAUUUCAAAUCCAGUCAUAUUAGGUCUCCCUUUUAGCAGUUAUAUAUCCUUUUAAGGUUCAUCACAAUCGGAUUACCACCAAAGUUUUAGGACAGAAAAUCACAUUUGAGUUCUGCUUGGAAACAGACCUCAAAAAAUUAAGACACUUACAAAAGAAUAAUAUUUCAAAAACCAUUAGUAUAAUCACUAAUAAAUCACAACACAUUAAUUCUUAAAAGAAGAAAUUAAUCACAAAAGAAUUGAAGAAUAGCUAACAAGUAAAUCUUUGUUAGAAACUAUUGAUAAUUUUCAAAAGAAACUUAUUAAUGACAUCUGUUCUGAUAUUCCCAAUGCCUUUUAGCACCGCAAACAACACAUUGUUAAACUUCAUUACAUAAAGGAGUUUAAUGAAUCAAAAAUCCCAACUAAAGUCAAACCUAUUCAAAUGAGCCAAGAAGUCAUGGAAUUCUGCAAAACAGAGAUCCAAGAACUUCUUAAUAAAUGAAUCAAUAGAAAAAAUAAAUCAUCAUGGUCAUGCCCUGCAUUUUAUGUUCAGAAAAACACAGAAUUAGAAAGAAGGACUCACAGAUUAGUUAUUAACUAUAAACCUUUGAAUGAGGUUUUGGAAUGGAUUUAGUAUCCAAUUCCCAACAAAAGAGAUUUGAUAAAAAGGUUUUCUCAAGCAAUUAUUUUUUCAAAAUUUGACAUGAAAUCAGGUUUUUGGCAAAUUCAAAUUCAUGAAAAUGAUAAAUACAAAACAGCUUUUGUAACUCCUUUCGGUCACUAUGAAUGGAAUGUAAUGUCUUUCGGCCUCAAGAAUGCACCUAGUGAAUUCCAAAAUAUUAUAAAUAAUAUUUUUAAUCAAUACAGCUAUUUUUCAAUUGUUUACAUUGAUGAUGUCCUAAUUUAUUCAAAAUCAAUAGAUGAACAUUGGAAACACUUGCAUAUGUUUGCUAGAAUAAUCAAGUCCAAUGGAUUAGUUGUUUCUGCAUAAAAAAUUAAGUUGUUUCAGACUAAGAUUAGGUUCUUAGGAUACAAUAUUUAUCUGUCUACCAUUCAACCCAUUGAUAGAGUUAUUCAAUUUGCCGAUAAAUUCCCAGAUCAGAUUACUGACAAAACCCAAUUACAAAUAUUCAUUGGAUCAUUAAAUUAUGUUUCAGAAUUAUAUCCUCACCUCAGACAACAAUGUAAACCUUUAUUUGAUCGUCUCAAAGAUAAUCCUCCAUCAUGGUCUCCUGUUCAUACUUUCAUUGUUAAAUAGAUCAAAUCACAUGUUAAAACAUGACCCUGUCUUGGCAUUCCAACUCCCAACUCAUUUAAAAUAGUUGAAACUGAUGCAUCUGACAUUGGUUAUGAAGGUAUCCUCAAGCAGUCUAUUUCUUCCGGAUCUCCUGAAUAAAUUGUUCGUUUCCAUUCAGGAGUAUGGAAUCUAGCACAACAUAACUAUAGUACUAUUAAGAAAGAAAUAUUAUCUAUUGUAUUAUGCAUUAUCAAAUUUCAAGAUGAUUUAUUGAAUCAAAAAUUUUUAGUCCGAGUCGAUUGCAAAUCUGCAAAACAUGUUUUACGAAAAGAUGUUCAAAACAUUGCAUCAAAACUGAUUUUUGCACGGUGGCAAGCCAUAUUAAGCAUUUUUUAUUUUGAUAUUGAAUACAUUAAAUGCAGCCGCAAUAGCAUCCCCAAUUUCCUAACAAGAGAAUUUUUGCAGGGGAAGAAUGUCAAGACAAAAGCCUAAUCAAAGAAGGCUUCCAGCCACUUUACCACCACCAGUAAAACAAGAAUCUAUUCUCGAUUCCUCAUCAGCCUUAGCCAUAACCAACCGAUUCACUCAUUUAGGAUCCACAGUGGCAAAUUUCCAACCAAACUACCAAACACCAAGACCAAACUACCAAAUGGCAUUAGUCAGUCAGUAUGAUCUUUAUUCAUCCUACUACCCAUCUUUAUCAAACCCAGCAAUUAGUUAUACUAAAACAUCUUCAUACGUCAAUAAAUCACCCAAGGAAUGCCUUUUUAGCAUAUCCCCCAAUAUUUUCCAGGAACAAACACCAGCCAAAAUAGCCAAAAUGGUAUUCCCGGCCAAUUUCCAUUAUCUACCAAAUGCACCACAUAAAACCCUCAAAUAUUAUCAUGUCAUUCUCAGUGAGACUAAAUCCAUUGCUAUUAAGCCAAUUUUUAGUACAACCCAUGCCAACAAAAUUCUGUACCAUUCCCUUCACAUUGGAAAAAUCCUAACAGAAACAGAAUGAGGAUUCCCCCUUUACCAAUCCAACCCUCUUAAUUCUCAGCAUGUUCUUAUUCCCAUAACAAAUACAAUUAUUUUGAUUAUAUCGACGCUUGGUCUAACAUUUUCCUUCAUCAAACAAAAGACUUUAGUCAUUCAUGGUUUGUUACUUUUGAUAAAAGUCAGAUUAAAUUUCCCAGCAUGGUUUCCCAGAUGGUGGUCAUUUCAUGCCCCAAUAGCCAGCCUCCUUCUCGAGGACCUCAUGCACGUUUUAUCAAAAAAUUUCCGAAAGAAAUUUGACAGAAGCAAAUUCAACCACUAUAUCACCUUUCUCCCAUUGUUCAUGGCCAAUUACAAAAUCCCAUGGAUAAUGAAGUUGAAAUUGGCGAAGUCUAUCGACAAAGAGCAGUCAAAUGGUGGGACAAGUUAAAUCACCAGAAAAUCAUCAACUUGGUCCUCUCUGAAUUUCCCGUCAUUCAAGCUUAAGUUCAAGCCAUUCUGGCACAACCAGUCCAGCAGAAAAUGGCAUUGCCAACAGUUCCAGAACAAUCCCUAUCAGACAUUAGUCCCUCUUCAUCUCUCAAAGGCACUUCUAAGUCAUCCAAGUCGAGUUCGAAAAAGAAAGAAAAAUCGUCUCAGCUCAAGGACCUUGCCCAACAAUUACUUGCAGAAGCAGCCAUAUUCCAUACUGAAGACUCAGACUCCGAAUCCUUAGACUCAUCCUCUCAACAACCGGCCAGCACGCAAAAAGCCAAAUGGGUAUAUUAUCAGGAUUCCCAAGACCCGUUUGAAUGGUAGAAUUCAAAAUUUGUAAUAAUUUGUAAUCAUUCCAAAGUAUUUUACCCAAGUAAAUUUUAUAGUAUCAGCCAUGUGAUCCUUUCACAAGAAGACAGAAUCUGCAGUAGCAGCAAUCAUUCAGACAAAUCACUAUUCAUGAAUAGUAAAACCACUUUUACUAUUCAUCCAUCAUUUCAGAAGCAGUCGCAUGAUUCCACAGUAAAAGGAAAAUCAUUCCUCCAACUUUUACAGUUCUCUUCACAUGGGCAAACCGGGAUUCCCGCUUCAAUUUCAAUCAUUCAUCCAACCAUCUCUAGCCUAUAUCAUCACAAUCCAGAACCCAUUCCUAGGAGGCUGAAAACUCUGCGUAUUCUUAAGAACAAGAACAGAGUCCAAUAUUCAGCUACAUAUUGUAUCCAGUCAAAACUAUAAACACACUUUUAAUUAUCAUGCCAAGGAUGCCUGCGAGCUCCAUCUUCAUUUUCAUCAAUUGUAAUUGCCAGUAGGCAAAUUGUAAGUCUUCAUUUCAAAGUUUAAUAAACUUAUUUUCAAAAUAUAUCUGCAUCAUUAAUUUUAAUUCAUUAUUUUCAUUAUGAAGAAUAUUUUCAUAACCAUUGAUUUUGAAUGGCAUAAAAUUCUUAAUCACAAUCAAUUCAUUGAGUAUUUCAAAUUCAAGGUAAAUACCGAUCAAUCUUUCCUAACAUUUGGUAUGAUAUUUGCACUCCCAAUAAUCAUAAUGACUGUAGUUUUGACUGUUGUCCUUAUAAUUUCUACCAUCAUCAGUAGAUAGUCGCUCAUCUCCCCAUUUGGUAAUGUGUGUGUGUGUGUGUGUGGGAGCAAAGUUGUAUUUGAUCAGAACAUCCUCACAAAAAACACAAAAGUUGGGUUAUGACAGUCUGAGAGGCUAAUCCUAAAAUAAUUAGGGAGAAAUUAAUUAAAACUGAAGACCAUUUAGUCAAUCAACAUAAGCAAAUAGAUAAACAGCCUACCAACUCCAACCAUCUAUUCCAACCUCAAAUUUUAUAGUUCAUUGCAAAAUUGAUUUUUGUAUAGUGAAUUAUAAUAUGAAUAGUUCCAAUAACUGAACAACACUUUGGUUCCGCAUUAAUUUGUAAGGAAAUUCCUUCACAAUUUUGUGAAGCCAAAAAAAUUGCUCUUAAAAUGAUUCGUCGUCCAAAUGUGCUGAUGCAUCAACACAAUUUAAGAAAUUAAUUGGCAAUUUUUAAGUCCCACGUUAAAUAUCCAAAGGUUAAAAUAUAUUUUUGAGUUUUACUAUGAACUCUUGGAUAAUGUAAUAUAUACAUGAAUGCAUUUUGAGUUGAGCAUAAUUCUUGUACAAAAUAAACAAAUGAACUUCUUAUACCAGAAGCUUUUAUGGAGAAGACGAGCAUCAUCUCCAACAAUGUACAUACAAACGGGGGCCGUCAGACCGAUCUACUGGCGUCUACGGACGGUUCAACGCUCGAUGGAGAUACCUCUGCGCCGUAAUCCCAGAGUUGUUUCAGCUCGCGCCUUAUCAGUCCCAAAAUCACUGUAACACCUGGUGACCAGAGAAGGAAUAAGAAGGCAAAGUAAAACACCUGCAAAUUUUAUCGGCCUAAAAUUGGAAAAACGCGUCUAGAAAACCAAACAGAAGAUGUAAGAUCAAUGCGCUGGAGAUUACCUAGUGUACAUGGAACGAGAUAGAGGAGUGCAGGCUGGCCGUUGCCGUUCAUGAGAUACAAACCCAGGUAAGUAAGACCGAGUCCUGGAAAAGGAAUAACGUUCCAUUAGUACCACAUGAAGACAAUAUGAACAUGUUUAGUUCGAUCAUGCUGCAGUCUGCUAUUAAAAGGAAAUGAAAUAAAUACACUUGAUAUUAUGAGCAAGAACUUACAAUCAUAAACAAAGGCGAAAUGGAUGUUACCGUAACAGAGCAGAAAAUGAAAAUAUAUAACACAAUGCUUUUCCCGAGCAAGGUAGGCAUUUUUUUUGUAAUUCAUGUAUAUUGUAGGAGGGGAAAGAAUUUUUUUAUUUUUUACUUUUUUUUUAAAUAAAAACAAAUUAGAUGUUGCAAGAGCACUCACCAAUUCCAUAGCCAAUUAAUAACCAGGGAAAAUAUCCGUUAAACGCACUCUUCUUAUUUUCUUUGUCAAACCUGAGACAGCCAAACCAGGAAAAGAUCAAAAACGGGGGAAAGAUAUACAGAAAAUCAAAUGUAAAACAAAAUACUCAGAAAUAGAAAAUCAAUAACAAUUUAACACUCAAGUUCAAUAUUUGUAUGGCAUUCAUUAUCAAUAUAUCACCCAAUUGACUUUAAUUAUUUUGGCCAUCCAGCAACAAUUUUUAUAUGGACUUCUUGGGUUCAUCAGCAGAAACUGAGCAAAGCAUGAUUCCAGCAUGCAAAUAACAGAGAAAGGAAUCGCGUUAUCUUUAAUCUCUCACCCCAACCCUCUAUUGCCCGGAACCAAAAUCAGCCAAAGUGUUCCAUAUAAUGUCUCGUCUGGACUUCAUUACAUAGACGACUAAGGAAAAAUUAUAGGACUUGAUAACAAGAAAUAUAUAUGUGAAAGGAGUUAAGUUUCCUCUUUCAUUGACGAGGGAGCGAGAAAGUUCUGAUACAGAUAUAAAAAUCAAUGUUGGAGCUGAUUUCGAAUUCAUAAUCCAAUUGUUCACCAUCAUGAUAAUGUAUCUAUCCCAAAGACAGGUGCAUUACCAUGAUGCAACAUAAUUGAAAUUUUCACAUAAUACAUCCCUCACUUUAGUUCGUACAUGAUUUUCGAAUGCUUUCUAAAUAUGCAAAUGUAUGAAAAUUGAUAGGUUAGGUGCACUUCUGAGUGUAAUAACUGUUAAUUGUGGUAUGGGGAUCUGGGAAUGUAUGUUAUAUACUAAAUAAAACCUCAUUUAAUCCGGAGAGAAUCACAUUUAACUAAGGACAUCUGUUCAAUUAAUCAACUAGCUCAAGAACUUAAUCCAAAAAGGAAAUGUUGUACUAUCUCUUUAAAAAAUAGAGACAUUAACUGAAAGAAAUCAGUACCUGUAAGUAAAUACAAUAAGCAAACCAGGAAACAGAACGUCCCCGAAGCCAAUCAUAUUCACACCACCCCAGGGGUCAAAAAAGCGAGGGAUUCUCAAAAGCAUUGGUAGGGCUUCACCACUGCCGUCACCUUUAGCAACCUAUAAGCAAAAGCAAAUUGUAACAUUUUAGUUUCUCUAAUAGAAUUUUAAAUGAGGAUUUCCAAACAAAAAAAAAGGGCUAUAGUGUAAAAGCUAAUACUAUAGUAAAGCACAUCUCACAUCCAUGAAUCAAUUUCCCAACGAUGUACAUGAUAUCAAUACACAAGCAUCAUACAUGCACACAAAAGAUUUACUCAAACGGGGAUCAUGGGACAUAAGCCAAAGAUGUCAGGCACAUUUAUGCUUGCAUACUUUUGUUGGUGAAUUCAUUGACCUUAACACAUUACUAAAACUGAGCCCAGAAAAUAAAAGGACUAAUUAUUUCUGACGAAACAUGGAUGUGAACCAGAACAAGUAUUUUCCUGAGGUUGGGGAAAAUUGCCAUGAUAUAAGCAAUGCUUUUAUUACCUACAGAAAUACAUGUCAAAGUACAUAUGCCCUCUACGUAUGUAAAGACACACAAAGACUCUAUGCGUCUUAAGAUUCAAACAAGCCAACGAGUCAAACCUUUUGAAAGGAUCUACUCUCCCAGUUUGGCAAAUGACCAGGCUAUUUACCAGGUGGACAGCUGGGCAGUCAAGCUGAACUCAGACAACUAAUAAUUUUUACACCUUAACACUGGACCACCGCCUAGACUGCUGCUAACAUUUUAAAAUUACUACUUUUAUGCAUUAUAACAUUAGUAUGCUAACUGCUGUAAUUUUAUAAUUAUACAUUUAUGAAAAAAAUAUAAUAUGGAUGUCAAAACUCCACAUGUAGGUACAUUUAUUUGUUUCUAUUACCAUUUCAUCCACAAAUUACACAUCAUAUUUUUGACAGAUCGUGAAGUCAAGGUGGGUUGCAAAAAUCUAAAAGUAUGACUAAUGGCUUGAAACCCUGUCUUUAUAUUUUAGCUAUCAAUGUUCCAGCCCAGGUUUUAUUAGUAUAGUCUAUGUAGGUUUCAUGUGUAACGAAAAGAAGUAAAUGAACACAAAUUAGGGAUAUAUGUAUUUGCAUAUGAUUGGACAAUGGACAACUAAAAAUCAACAUAAAGGAGUAUACAUGUAUAAGCAUACUUGUUCAAACACUCAACACUCUUUCAGUAAAGACUUUCUGAGAUGAAAACAUCAAAAUUGUAUUAUUUCUUAAUUCUUCUUAAAAUAUCAGAAAAUAUUGAAUAAGAAAAAAAAAAUGAGUUACAAAUAAAAUGGACAAGGUGUCCAUCAAUAAUUUAUGUCAUCAAUAAUUUAUGUAGAAUCAUUUUGAACAACAGUGAGCCUUCAUCAAAUAAACACAUGCAAUACACCUCAAUACUCCAAUCAAUGCAUUUCAGACGAAAACCUAUGCACUUUUUGAUACAAGGUAUCUAAUAAAAGGAGAAAAAGAAGAAAAAGAAGCUGAGAUCAGAACGUACCGUAACCAUGACGCUAUCUUUGAAUAUUAAGGGUGACAGGAAUACCCAAAAGAUGUCAUAGACAAAUGCACAACAAAGUAGUACGGUAGCAACCUGAGACAUGUCAGAAUUAUGAGACAAAAACACAUGUUAGAAUUAUGAGACAAAAACUUGAUACAUUAAUUAAAUGAAAGAAAGAACUGGUACCUUUAUGUUAGGCAAUCGAGCAAUUUGCAAGACCGUUAUCAUCAAGCAGAUACCCUGUCAAAAAAUUAUAAUUUUAACUAGCUGAUAUGAACAAAAUGAUAGACGGAUGUAGAAAAUCAUGUAGAGAAAAACCCAAGGAUUAAAAAUGGUAGAAUAAUGAUAACGAUAUGGCAUAAACGUCAUAAAUUUUUAGGUUUCUUUGCAAUAUUAUAUCAGCAGUCCAUAGGGAACCCUCAAACCGCUCAACUUAGGUUGAUAGAAGAUCUUUGGGUGACUAGCUUACAACAACAACAACAACAAAGCCUUAUCCCACUAUGUGGGGUUGGCUAUUUGGGUGACUAGCUUAACAAAAAAUAUAAGCAAGAAAUAGAUUUUUUCCAAUUUGCUAUACUGUAGCAUGCAUGACCCCCAGUAAUACAAUUUUGAAGGUAAGCAAGAGCUUUCUUUCAGGUAUGACCAUUAGAAAUGUUCUAAGAUAUUACAAUAGAACAUCUCCAAUUACUCUGUUACCAAGUAUUCAGAAUUUGAAAAAAUAAAAAAAAAUUCAAAUUUCUGAAACUGCAUAAAUUUGCUGAAUUGCAUAGUACACUCAGCCUAGCACACAUAUCAAAACAUGAAACUUACAAGAACAUCUUGGCCAAUCCAUGAAUAUGACGCCCGCCGGGUAACAACCCAGAAAACUGCAAAUGCCGCACAGAAAGCCAAUACAACAAGCGAGAGAAUAGAAACCUCAUCCAGAAGAGGCAAAGUUAUCGUCUUCUGCCCACCACUUCUCCAUUUUCUAUUCAACAAGUAAAUAAAGACAUUAAGGAACAUGGGUAAUAGGUUCAGUAGAAACAGGAAAAAUAAUGUCAAAUGUACCUCAAAAUCAGGCUCAGAACACAAUUAUGCAUUCCCUGAAAACAAAAGAUACAUCAGCUAGUAUGACACACAAGUCAACUGACAGAAGAUUCAAGAGUAGCAGAUCAAACACAUUUGAGAGAACAGUUCAAAAGGAUGUCCUCAUUUAAGAAAGUUAUGGACAUCCUAUUUCCAGGGUGUGAUUCAAUGAUGGAAACCAUUCAGUUUUUAGAUUCUCAUUCAAGGAUUAUCCAAGCCAAAAAUCGGCUAUAUCAGAAAAUGUUUAGCUGUUUGAUUAUCCACAAUUUCAUCUCAGCUUUAUGUAGCGAGCCAUGUUGCUUUGCACAUUUUAGAUGACCAAACACUUUAGGAUUUGGAUAUUUUUUACAGUGAUGACCCUUGAAAUGAUGAUCUAAGAUAUAGAUGGUUCCAAUAGUUGAAAAACAUUAUGGGUAGACCUGGGAAGGAUGUCCAUAACUUUCUUAAUAUUACUGGUAUGCUUCUAGUUUCCUAUUUAAUGUUGUUAGUAGGAUUUUAGGUUAGUUGACAUCUUGUCCUUAAUUUGUACGGAUUAGUUUUUAUUAAGAAAAGCUGUUUCUUAUUAAAAAAAAUGCAUUCUUUAGCAUUCUUUAGAUUGUAAUGCACAGUUGUAUUCAGUUUAAUUCCCAUAUAGGUACAAAAAUGCCAUGAACUCUGUUUAUAGUCAAUUUUGUUUACUUUGCAAGCAAAUUAAUAAAUAAAAUAAUAAAUAGUAGAAUUAAUCACUGUACCUCAAUACCACCAAUGCAGAAAAGUACAAUCAGCACCCAGAUAAACCAAGUAGACAUAAAGAAAUAUAGUAGCAACAGAAAAGUGGAUGCUGUUAUGACGAAACACACAGCGCCUGCCACACUAAGAUUCAUGACUUCGUCCUCAGAAUCAUCUUUGGCUGUUCCAGUAUUAGAUUCCUAUCCAAUCAAAGAUGAUAUAAAUACUAUUUCCCAUAACUACAACACAUUAUACAGUAACAGGAGGGCCGAGAAGAAAAUAUCAGCCGUGAUGGAAAUAUCUCUACUCAAAUUAUGGAGGAUGUUUCGGUUUCUAUAUCAAUAUCAGUGACUGUCAACAGGUUGAUGUAUAUUUUCUUUGAAAGAUGAAAGUUUUGAAUGAAACUUCAGUGAAAGUUAAAUCAAUCAUUAUCCGUUGUGUUGACAGUGACCAAUAUCAAAACAUCCACCAAUAUUUCCGUUCAUAAUGAAAUAUGCAGCCCUGAUAACCACACAAUAUUUCAUGUAAAAAAAAAACGUUCAAGUGAAUUAAAAUUAAGACAUAUAUACAAGAAAAGCAUUUAGAGAACAAACAAGUAGUGUGAAGACAGUGAAUUGAGGCUUGCAUGUACAAACCUUUUCUGCUAGUUCAUUAUAAUUCUCAUCAGACUUAUCAGGAGCAGUAAUCUUUGACCAAAAUGAGGCAACUAUUAUUGUUCCAACAGCCAUCAGCCACAGGAACACAACUGAGUAGUCCACCACUGGACGCUUGGGAGAAUAUAAUAGAAGCUCCACUGCAAUAAGUUAAUAGAAUUAUCCAUAUAUUAUCACAUCAAACAAACUUUAGAAUUGAAAAAUGCAAGCACAUUAGCUAACAUAUGGAUGUAAACAAAGAUGGAAAGCAAACUCUUAAUCUAUAUAUAUCAUGGAAACCUAUAUGUCCAACCUUGAAAACCCUAAUUCAACUGACGCCUGAAAAAGCUAUCUAUCAUCUGUUCUGCCUCUGAAACUUCAAUUAAUUCAAGCCCUUUAUAAAAGCCCUAAAUCAGACCUCCCAAACUGUCCCACAUCAGCAUGCUAUCUUCCUAUUACGUUAUAUUAUUACUAUUAAUCACAUUCAAGGAAGUAAAGAAUUUGACGAAACAGUAAACAUCAGAAGUUGACCUUUCUUUCCAUCUUCAAUAGAUUUCUUGAGUGCUUCUCCAUCUGACUUUGGAACCAUUACGACAAAAAUUGAAAUAUUCAAAGAAGUACUAUUAUCAGGACAAGCCAUCUUGGCAAGCUCUGAAACAAGAGGGAGAAAACGUUAGAAUUUAGUAUUUAAGGGGAAAAAGAGUGUGCUGCAGGUCUUUCCUGUGUUGCAUCAAGUCCCUAAACAUGCCUACAGACACAAGUUCACUUGCAAGUCCCAACACAUAAUAAUUUGUCUCACAACAAAACAGGAACCCUAGCAAAGUAAACUAUAAAAUCACAAUGGGAUGUGCUAAGUGCAUUGAGAUUCCAACCUUCAUCAUUAUUUAUCACCACUAGCGCCUUAGCACCUCCUGACUGUGCAACUUUUGCCUUUACGGAGAAGUCACAAUCACCACGCGUGGACAAGGCAAUAGCUCCAGAUAACUGCAAAGAGGAAAAAGGGACCGUAAAUAAUUCAGAAAACCAAAUAUGGGUUUAUCUUAUACAGUGAAUUCCAAAGAGACAAUGAUGCUUGAUCAUAUCCUAGAACCUCAAGGCACACUUUGCUUCUACAUUUUAAGUGUCUAGAGGAGAUGAUUUCAGUCAACAUUUAAAGUGACAACACAUUAAGCUUCCAUUUAAGAAGGAAAAAAACAAAGUUAAACCUUCGAAGAUGACGCUGAACAACCAUUUAAAGGAUUCGAGAUAACAACGGGCAAUUUGACGGCUUUUUCUUCUUUGGAAGGCAAUAAAGCCCCAAACUUUGCACCUGCCCCUUCAAUAGUUUCUCCUUCAUGGCCAUUAACCCAAUUCUUAACCUUUGCCUGAGAGAUUAGAUAAACCAGUUUAAAAGGGUUUUUAGCAGGAAAACAAUGACAGUAUCAAAUUAAAUUCCAGAAAAAUCCCAACUCAAUGUAAUUUUUAAUUUCUCAGCCCAAAAACCCCCCAAAAAAAAAACAUGCAUUUUCUCAUAAAAUUAAAUCCCCAUUUAACAAAAUUAAGAACUCGAUUUCUUGAAAUAAAAAAUGCAAAAAUGUAUGAAAAAAGAAGGGAAUUUUACCAUUAGGUAAGGGUUGUUGCAGGAAGGAGUGUCGGGGGUGGAAUCCACAUCCAAAACCAUGUCCUUUUCACCACGGGCCAAAGAAAGAGCAAUCAGAGAUAACAGAAACACUAGGCGGAGGAGACCCGACGCCAUUGCCAUUGCCAUUGGACACCACCACCACUCGAAGAUUCAAUCUCCUCCUCCUCCUCCUCCUCCUCCAAUUUGAUUUUUAAUCCAAUCUAUCAACUCCAAUUCAAUCAAUCCAACGUCGAGUGAGGGAGAAAAGAAAGGGAAGAGAAUUGAUUUAUUUAUUUUUUCAAUUGUUUUUUUAAUUUUUAAUUUUAAUUUUUCUUUCUUCGUCCCUCUGCUCCUGAGAAAAAAAAAAAAAGAAAGCUGGAAAUGGCUGAAAUAUUGAAUUAUUUAUUUGUUUGUAGUUGUAUAUCUGCCUGACGUGAUGCUGAAGACUGGUAGGCAGAUAGAAGAGAGGAGGUGACGGCAAAAGUAGGGAAAACAUGUCAACAACUAUAUGGAAAAUUACUGAACGGAUUCACCGUCACCGUGCCAUCCGAUAACAAUACGACUCAACCAAUUUAUUGUUAUUCUGUUAUUCUGGUAAAAAGGAUAAUAACACGACGGAUUCAUUGUCGUUCUGAUAUUCUGAUAAUACAAUGUCAAUUGUAAGUUUUUUAAUAUAAAAUGAAUAUGACGGUGAAUCAGUUUUAUAUAAGGUGCUCUUGAAUUUUGCGCCCAAAACAAAUUCACCCCAACUUUGUAGGUCUAAAAUUUAACCCUUCAACAAUGCUAACCGUCAAAUAACUUUGCACUCGUACGUGGUUAAGUGUGGUCAAUUCACUAUGGCGAGCUUGGAUGAGGGACUUUAAAGUUCUUAACGUUUAGGCUAAAUUUCCUUGUAAUGCGGUACAAAAAUUAGAUAGAGGAACAUGAGAAUAAAACGCAAUACAUCUGAGAGAACUUUCAAAUAACACAUUAAAAAAAUAAUGCAUUUUAGUGAUUUAAUAGUCGCUUUGUAUUGUUUGAGUAGUUCGCUGGUAGUAUUUUUGUAGUGCAUUUUUAAUAAUCGAGUAUAAAUUCGCUUUAUACUUUCAAAUCCCUUGUAAACGAGAGUUUUUUUUAAUGUAUCCGAAAUACGCGGUGGUGCACAAUGUCAUUAUAUAAGUGAAGGGCUACUUAAAAAAAAAACUUCCCUCUGACGUAUGUAGCAUAAUAUCCAUUCUCACCACGCCAAUCACUAAAUCUCAUGUUCCACCGCAAACAACACUUAUCGAUCCACAAUUGUAUUGAAAUAAGUCUUAAUAUCCUCGGCAAACAGAUUUUGAGACUUCAACAUAUUUUUGACACGCCCGUUGAGACCUUGUAUAAUCAACCAAGAAAAUGCCUACUUUUGUCUGAAUAUUUCUCUUUAGCUUAAGUAUGGAAUUAAUUUUCCUUUGCUUGAGAUAAGGAAUAUAUGUUUCAUCCAUUUUUUGUUAACCAAUAUUCCUUGACAUUCCAGCAGAAGAUGAAUGGCCACCCUAUUGAGAUUUGUAAAUAUAAAGACUCGUUUGAAAGUAUUUUUAAAAUGACUGAAAGCGUUAUAAUGAGAAUGGUUUUAGAACCAAUCCUUAGUAAAAAUGCAAGUGAAUCUUAGAAGCACAUAACUAAUGCUGCUUGCAUGAAGCACUAAAGUGUUUUUGGAACUCAAAAACACUUCCACCAAAAGCAGUUUCAGCCAUUUUAAAAGCGCUUUCCAAACGAAUGCUAAAUGUCAUGCCAUACAUGUCUCAUGCAUGCAAAAUAAAUGAAAGGCAAAAGAAGAUUUUCAUAAAAGUACUUUAUUUGGUAAAUCAACAACACAGAUUAUCGUCAUAGCUCUUUUCUGCAGCAGGUAUUCGACAUCAUAGGUCACAUUUUUCGCUUUCUAAGAUCGAUACGGAGAGGGUUCAAGUCAACUAUUAGAUUCUGAUGGGUAAUACCACCACUACCUACACUGAGGCUGUAUGAUGCUGCUGUCGAUGUAUCACAUUUCCGACGAGCUGAUAUGCUUCAUGUUCAUCUUGGUUUCGGAAUCUGCUGUACCUAAACACUACAGGAUCACUAAGCUGCACAUGUUGUAAACCCCCUGGUAAAAUCUCCAAACUUCUUAUAAUCUAAGAGGUACGUUUUUGCCUCAUCCAUUUUGUAGCCGACCACUUUUCCCCGGAUAGUACCUCACAUCCUCCAUGUAUGCUCGUCGGAUCCUCUUUUCCUUCAAGAUUCUGAAAGAAGCAAGUAAAAUAAAAUUCACAUGGAUAGAGGUCAGACUCCGUUAGAAAACUAGAAACUUCGAAAUUGCAUUUCACAACUGUACUAAAGGCAAACUAUCAUUUCGUUUUCAGCAAUGCAAACAUAGAAUUUUACAUAUCUUAAAAAUGGUCAAGGGACCGAAGGCACACCCGGAAAAUAGUAUAAGAAAUUAAGGAACCUUACCAUGCUCCAAAAAAGUACUGCAUCCCCUUUAAUUGGCUUCACAGACAAACCUGUGGCAGCUCUUCCACCGCAGGUACAUUUACCUGAACUAGCCUGAAAUUCCACACAAGUUAACACAUAGAUUGGCAAUGCGAUAUUCUACAUACAUUACAUGCAAAACUGACGGUAGAAAGACUGACCACAAAAGAAAUAGAUCGAAAGACAACUAAUGAUUUGCAUAAUUAUAUAUUUAAAUCCCAUGUUUUUAAGUCCCUGAUGUAAUAUAUAAAAAAUAAAAAUAACAAUGUCAGGUACAGUAAACUUCUCUUUCCAAAAAGAUGCUUGAUAAAAUGCCUCAAAUAAGCGAUUCAGAAGCAAAGUGAACACCUUGGUGCACACCGUACCCUACCCCCUUCUCCCCUCCAAACCGUGUUCCACUACUCCCAAAUAAUUUUAGCACGUAUAUUUGCCUCUUUUAGCCUUCGUAAUUUUAGCAUCAAAAUCUAUACCUAUCGAAGAUAACAUCAAAAUAUAGCAUCAAAUCAAAAGACAGAUUACCGUAGGGAAGAUGGUUUCUCCGCCCUCAACAUUAUCACUCAAAUACAUCAGAAUUGUUGCUACUCGCUGACCACCACGUUUCAAGUUAAACUGUCAACAAAAAAUCAAGUAAUAUUUAGAUUCCUAAUGUUAUAACAUUAAAAAAUUGAAGGAUUGACUGCAAUUACGGGAUACUAAUUCUUACAAAUGCAGGGUAAAGAAACUUACAGUGUCAGAGAAGUAGUCAUGGUGAGGUCUGUAAUACUGAUCCUUUUCGUACCUGUGCUGCUCCAGAUGUUAGUCUUGAUACUAAAUAUAUUGCUCAACAUUUUCAUGAAACUCACCACAUCUUAUCUAAAUAAGACACCCACCUUAAAACUUGAAUGAGCUCCCCAUUUUCUAUUGGCACUUGAGAAAACACAGCAAUACGCUUUUCAAUUGCCUAAUGACGAAAUAGAAAAAGAGGACAGUUAGAGUUCUGCUUUCUGCUUUACCACAAAGAACAAUGGUAACCUAAAUGCUAAAAAGUGGACAUCACAGAUACUUCACAAACACACACACAUAUGCACACAAGGAAGCAAAUGGCUGACACAUAUGGAGGGUUUCCCAAGUAAUAUGCAUUGGCGGGCAGAGGCUGUGGAUGUUAUUCAUAUGAAUUGUUCAAGUUUUUGGCAGAUCAAUCUGCCAAAACAACAACUUCCAUAUCUUCAUCCCAAGAACUCACUGGUACUCCUCAAAGAAUGAGGCCCAGAUAUCAUAUAUACACAGAAACCUCCGGAUUUCUUGUCAAUUGCUCAUUGUUCUAUGGUCAUGUUAAAUAGUCCCCACUUUGGUACAAAAAGGGCUCUUGGAUACCAAGAGAAACCCUCCUGGAACAAGUUCUGGAAGGCCUUAUGCAUCCAUUUAGAAAUUAGAACCGACUAUCAAGAUUAAAAAAUUAAGAGUUCGUGAUAGCAUUCCUUUACAUUCAACAAGAUUUUUUUUAACUGCCUCCAUUUUGAACCAACACAAAAAUGACUAAAUUUAAUUUCCAUCUUAAUGCUUAAAUCUUCCUCGUCAUAACAUCAUUGUAUGUUCUACAUACAUCACAAAUGAAUAAGCGUGUAUGCUGUAGUCGGUGAAUUUGAAAAAGAUAAAAUGAACACACAAAAGAAGAUCUCAAAUUUGGAUGCCUUUCCAAUAAGAAAUGAGAUCUGUAUAUUAUUCACAGCAUGAUGGUAUGAAUUUAAGACUAGCCUACAGACCAACGAUGAUAAACAAAAUAUUCAAAUCAAAUAAUGAAUAAACACCCUGAACUUGGAACCUUUAAGAAAACAAAAAUAACAUUUAGUAUCUUCUGAAGUAUAAAAUUAUAAAUAUGAAUCUGAAUGCCAUAUGGAAGAGAGCUGAACUUAAAACAAAAAUUAACCUGUAUCAUCGGGUACUUUUUCUCUUCGGGACUCAAGAACAUACCAGAACUUGUGCGAACAUUACUCUUUAUUCCCUGAAAAAAUGGUACAUAAUACGAUCAAUUAUGCACUUAAAUGAACAGGAAGAAUAUCAAACAAUAAAUAUAAUAUAUAUAUAUAUAUAUAUGUCUGUGCAUUCGAUUAGAGUUUGAUAUACAAAAGAUUCAUUUAGAGAUCACUUUGCUAUCUUGUUGAUGAAAAGUAAGGACAUUUUCAUCAGGUUCUCUAUCCAAAUAACACAUUUUAUUAAAUAGAUAAACACAAAGAUAUCAUACAGAAGUCAAUUGUAAGUAACUAUAUCAAAGCAUUGUCCUUUUCUAUCCAAAAUAGUAAAGUUGUGGCUAUUCUAAUAAAGCAUGCAUAAAACUGGAAAAAAGACUAAUGAGUAAGCCUGUGAAAUUAAGUGAAGUCAUGCCCUAAGAUGGAGGGUUAUCUGAUACCGGGGUGUAUGAUAAUUCGUAGGGCAUCCUGCGUACCUUUCCUGUUCUUACGUCCACUACAGUGGAGACUUGAAGGCGAGGGGAGGCAAGAGUUCUAAGGUAGUCACAUUCCUGAAAUGGCCAUAAAAACUUUCACUUUCACUUAACUAUAUAAAGGAGCUUCUUAAAAAACCAAAGCUGCUCAAUAAUAAUGCAAGAACCUUCAAUAUUUCACCAGAAGUCAAAUUUAAUGUGCUACCAAACAACAUAGAUCAGCCAGCAAAUGACAGCUUAAGACUAAUAAGCAAUUGCAGAAAAUCUAUCAGAACUUGGGAAUUCCAACUUUGGUACUAAUACUUUUUGGGGCCAUUAAUCAUUACCCCCCUUUUCAUUACUUCAUUAUGUCUUUACCACCUGGUUCUGUUCUUUUUUUUUAUCUUCCCCCACCAACAAUUUGACGCGCACAGAAUCACGAGCCAACACAAUUACAUCCAAAUACGUUUCCUGCCAAGCUUCAAAGAAGCAUACUUUUUUGUUUUAAAUAAUAUUUUGAAAUCCAAUGUAGCCCAACUCCAAACUACAAUGAAAAUAAUUUUAAAUUCCUUUAUUAUUAUUUUUUUUUUGGUCCAAUUCACUUUAAGUUAUUGUUUUUUUAAAGGUUAGUAUAGAUCAUUUUAAGUUAGUAUAGUCCCUUCUUUCAAAAAUAAAAUACAGACUUAAACAAUUACACAAUUGCACGAUUACAAACUUGCACAAUUACAGACUUACACGAUCACCCUAUUAAACCAUUACUGUAAACAGUAACUGCAUAUUCUCACCAAACAAUUAUAGUUCGGUAACCCUGAAAACAAUUCCAGUUUUCACUAUAGACAAUUACAGUUAGUUACUCCUGCAAACAAUUACAGAAAAGCUACCCUUAAAAACAAUUACGGUAAUCACAUGUCCAACAAAAAAUUACAAAUAGUUAGAACUUAAAUGGUGGAGUGUUCUCUUUUACUGCAGAACGAAAGUGGAUAUGAGACCCUUAUGGUUGCUAACAACAAAGGUUUUAAUCAUUAUUUUAAUUUAAGUGAACUUCAUUGACUUGUGGGUCCAACUUAAUGCAUGUACUUGGGCAUGGUAGAAUAUUGUAAGAGUUAAGAAACAUCAUGCCACAUGAAUAGAGGCAAUUCUGUUAUAAGAUAUAAGCAUACCUCCAUGCUCAAGAACUUAUGAAGUACAAUUAUUCGAGGCUCCCAGCUGAUUACUUCAGGUUUGACCUACAUUGAGAGAAUAAGAAAAGAAGAAAUCAAAUUCUAUUUACUAGAAAUUAUAAUGAGGUAUAUUAGUCCGGCUUCAUGUUUGUAUGCACAGAGAGAGAGAGAGAGAUGCAUCUCAGAUGUGUUCUGCCUUUAUUUUUCUAGCGAUAGGAAACUGAAGAAAUACACAGAUGUGUUAUGCCUUUAUUUUUCUUGCGAUAAGAAACUGAAGACAUACACAGUAGGGAACUAACACAGGGAAAGUGGUUAACUACAACAUUCUAGGUACCGGAAAACAUGAUAGACCCAUCAACUGGUGUCAACACUAGUUUAAAAGCUACUAAUAUCAUUAACCUUACUAACCUACAAUUGUACAAGAUUUUUUGGACAAUCAUACAUUACUGCCUGCAAUCACAGAUAUACCUGUACUUGUAUCUAGAUUGUUUCAGAAACUUUGUCCAACACCCUGUCAUUGGAUUAAAUACCAAUACUCACUUCUACGUGCACAAAUCAUAAAGAUUUACAGCACGGUACAACUCCAGGUGGUAGACUAUGACUAGAAGGUUCAGACCUAAUAGACCUAAGCAACAACAAAUUAUUUUAAGACAUAGAUUGCAUAAGUGUGUCAUAUCACACAUACUGCCCCCAAUUAUGAAUUGAAGGUACUCAAAUGUCCAAUUUUAAUUGUCCUGUACAUCAAAUGAUGCAUGAUAUUUACUUUUAAUUUUCUUUUCCAGCAGGCAGGGAUUAUCUGAAGUACUUGAAUAAAAAAUUAAAGCUAAACUUGCAAACAUACAUAUCCCAGGCGUAAAAUUUCUGCUUCUUUAUCAUUGCUCCAAUAAGCACCUGAGAAUUCAAAACAGAGGAAAGCAAAUUAGAUUAAAAAAAAAUAUUUGUAACUUAAGCAACAAAUGUGGUCUAUCUACCAAACUAAACAUGAUAAGAACCAUACCAACCUCCGGGCAACUGACGAUAACCAUCACUUCCAAGCACUUUCUAGGAGAUGGAAACCCCGAGCCUAAUAAACACCAAAUUUUAAACAAAAAUCAUCACAUUAACGAUACAAUAAGCAUGAUAUCCACUUGCAAACAACCGUAAAAUAAAUAUGACAUCACUUACAAUAAAGCAAUACAAAGAAAUUGUUCUAGAUAAUAAUUUAAUCAACAAUAAACAGGCUUUAAAAAUACAAGAUUGCAAGAAUUAUGCAACUAAACAUAUCAGUUCCAUUGGUGUCCAAUAGACCAAAAAAGAGAAAAACCAUAAAACGUUUAAUCGAUGAAAUAAUUCCAAAGAUAUGUACAUCAACUGAAAGAUAUGUACCAAAAAAGGCAUAACAAAGUCACAACCAUGAAUUUAACAUGCAAGUAAGACAGGGAAUUAAAAGAAAAUAUAUUUGUAUAAGAAUAAAGAACUAAAAGAUACCGUAUGAGUCUUCUAAUCUUCGUAUAAAUGCCAAUUGAAACAAAGCACCUGUGAGUUAAACAAAAAAGGAAUUCAGUAGAUGCUUGUUUAUUGAAAACCGAGUAGCACAAUCAAUUGAUCUUCAAAUGUUUAGCUUAUAGAAAACUAAACUUAGCAUAUUAUACAAUACAAUACAAUACAAUACAACGCAGAGCAAAUAGAAGGUAGAGGUUCUCAAAAGACACAAUGAAGAUAGUUGGUAAUAAAAAGGCCGGAAAAUUCCCCAGACGGCAGUCCAGCACCUCCACCUUCUCUGUGUUCUGCAUAAUUCGUAGUACUAGGAUAUGGUGUGGUGCCACUGGCCCACGUGUCUCCCUGCUAUUGCAAAUUCCUGUUUAGAAGGAGGAUAUCAAAUCUUUCUUUGUGUAAAUUCUUUCAUUUCUUUCAUACUUCUAAACCCUCUAUCUCCGAAACGGGAGUUUCUCUUAGCAAAACUAUGAACACCAACAUAUUGGAAACGCAUACCUCUACAAUUAAUGCAGCACAUCCCAACCAACUCCAGAGCUAGGGUAAUCCGAUAAAUCUCGACCAAAUAUAUUAGCAUUUUUCACUCAAAAAUAUUACAUCAAAUACUAUGCUCUUAUUGACUACAACAACAACUAACCAAGCCCUAUCCCUCUAAGCGGGGUCAGCUGUUUGAAUCCUAGAACGCCAUUUAGCUCGGUUUACGCUAGCAUUGACUAUAAUUUGAAAACCAUUUUUAGCCAGGAGCCAUAACGAUUUGCCCUAAGAAUCCAAGUCAAAGGAAGCUUCUGACGGAGCUGGUAAAAUUAUGAAUCUGAAGACUUGUUUGAUUACAAACCUUAAAGUAUCCAAUACCCAGAUCAAACCCAGACAGGAGCUUUCGUUUGGUUCCCGAAAAACACGGGAAAAUCGAAAGUACUAACAUAGGACCAAACUCCAACCGUUUUCUGGGUAAUCGCAGAAUCCAAAUAUGCACAAAUCAAUCAAAUGUAUAUGCAUGUAUGUAAUCAAGACGAGAAAUUGCUUCGAUGGUUUGAUUUUACCUAUGAUCAUUCCGACAGUGACAAAGGUUAGCAGCCCGAAUACAAUCUUCAUCGGAGCAGCCAUGGUUUCCGGUGAGAGAAAGAUAGAGAGAUUGCAAUCAGGAAAAUCAAAAUGCUAAGAAAGAAGAAUUCUGCAGUCUUAAACAGUUGCCAGCACCAGAACCGGGCACUUGUUGAAAAGUCAUGUCCCGGCGUUAGUCAAUUACUUUCUCUGUUUUUCCUUUGUUUUUUUUUUUUUUUUAGCCGUUUUCAGUCUUAUUUUCUGACAUGAUUUUUUUGGUCAAUUUUCCUAACCAACGACCAACGAACAGGGAUAAAUUUCUUUCGUCAACUGCGGCUUGGAGCGCUCCGCACGGUACGAAUGUCUGUUCCCACUGUUCGGGAUUGGGAUGCAUCUUAUAUGAUUUUUAAGUUAAAUUAGUUCGAAUUGUCAUGGCAGUAAUUGAUGGGGAAUUCUUAUGAGAAAUAGAUGUACCGAUGCCAAUAAUUUAGAUAAAUAUUAUGUUUUUUUUUUCUUUUCUGAACAAAUGAUAUUACCUACACUAAGGAGAGGGGUGGAGCUUAGCAUUACAAUAGAUUAGCAAUAAUGUGGUUCAAGUUCGUUUUGGCGAGAAUCAAACUUAAGACAUCUUACUUACAAGUGAAGAGAAAAAUCAAUAAUAUGGUUCAAGUUCGUCUUUGACGAAAAUCAAACUUAAGACAUCUCACUUAGAAGUGAAAAGAAAAAUCACUAAACUAUAGUACUAAGUGACAAAUACUAUGUCUCUUUUAUUCUUGUGAAAGUAGAUAAAUACUAAAUUGGACUGGGGGUUUUACACUGGACUAGCUAGGACUAAUAACCCAUGUUUGGUAUAGCAAGAGACUAAGUUAAAUGGGAUUAGCUCAGACUCGUGUGGACUCCGAACCUCACUAAGUCGCCUAAAUUAGUCCCACACGAAAGCAAGGUAUUGCUAAGAACCUCACUACGCUGCCUUCUCUCACUACGCCUCCUUCGCGUGAACUGGUGAGAGCCAAGUAUUGUUCUUCGUCAAAGCCAUCGAUCAUUGAGUGAGCUUCAUCCAGAACAAGUAUCCUCUCUCUCUCUCUCUCUCUCUCUCUCUCUCUCUCUCUCUCUAUUGGAUUGAUAUGAGAAUUGGGUGCUUCGAAGAGAAUGCUAGAAGAAGAGGAAACAUAUUUGCAAAUCACGGUUGCUAAAUCGUGGUUGGAGGAGGAGGGUGGGUGUCGUGGCUUGCUUCGAAUUUGCAGAUCGGUAGGAGAAAACAGGUAUACAACUAUUUGUUUUCAUAAUUGGGAUGAUGAUGGGAUUAGCAAGGCCAUGGCAAAUGAAGAGAGAUGGAGAGGUGUGAAGAAGUGAAAUUGAUGAACUUAAUUAUUAUUAUUUUUUUGUAAUAUAUUAGAAUUACCAUGAUUAUCUUGAAGUUCAUCAAUUUAAAAAGUAAAAGAAAAAAAAAUGGAGGAGAUCUAAAUUUAAUUAUUUAGAUUAGAAUGUGAAAUUUAGUUUUUUAUAAUUAAAUUUAAAAAAUUAAAAUUUAGUCUUAAUCUGACACUACACAAAACGCUUCACAACUUUAAUACUGCUUAGUCCAAGCUAAGACAAUCUAGUUUAGUCCAUGAAACUAGUCCAAUUUGAACUAAUCUAGUGCAACAAAUGCACCAAUCUCCUGGGAGAUAGUGAACUAAAUCUCAUUCCCUAAAACUCCUCUAGCAUGCCACUUAGUACUAUGAUCUAGUAGUAUUCUUUUUUACUUGUAAGUGAGAGGUCUUAGGUUCGAUUCUCGUCAAAGGCAUUUUAAACACAUUAUUAUGGCAAGCUCAUCGGAAAGCUUAACCCACUUCCCACUCCCUUAAUGUAGAUAACUAUCGAUUGUUCAGAAAAAAACUCCUCUAACUGUUUCCAAUUCACUUGCCCUUGGAGCAGUGGCGAAGCCACGUGAGGGCGAGGAGUGGCGGCCGCCACUCCCCUCGCCGGAAAACAGGACUGAAACUCUGGGUCAGUCCUUCCCCUCGCUGGAAAACCCACUGGUUCAGUAGUUCAGUUCAACCCUCAUUGUCUGUCUCGGUGGUGAUGGUGAUAUGCAGACUGCCCUUUUUUUAAAACACCCAGGCCAAAACAACGUCGUUUUGGUCCUGGUAAAAAAUAAAAUAAAAAAUAAGUGAAACGGCACCGUUUCGUAUGUUUGGAAUCAGAGUCUCAGUGUCGUGUUCCAUCCCCUUUUCUUUUUCAAUCUUUCUGCCAAUCAUAGACAAUAGCAGAGCAAAGUUGCCCCCUCAAACCCCAGCAGUAACAGAAGAAUUUUUUUUUUUUUAAAUUCCCAUUGGCAUUUUUCCUUGCCGCACCAGCCACUCUCCAUUUCUUCAACCGCUAAGCCGUCGGCUUCCAACCUUCAAAGGUUAAAUUUUUAAUUUUUAAAUUUAUAAUCCAUAAUCUUAAUUAAUUAUUUAAUAUGAAUUUUGUUUAAUUGGUAUAUAAUCUUUUGGUAAUGCAAUAAUAUGGUUGUUGAUUAUUGAUAUGAUUCUAUGAUUAUUGAUAUAAAAUUAUGAAAUUAUUUUUUAGGGUGAAAAUUAAAAUUUGAAUUCUUGAUUAUUGAUUAAUUAGUUGAUUAUACAAUUAUUCAUAUGAUUAGUUGAAUUGAAUAUUUAUUUAUUGAAUAAUUUGUAUGCUCAUUGGUAUUGAUUAAGUUGGAUUAAUAAUUAUGCAUAUUAGUAUAGUCUACUAUAGGAUUAAGAAUCUAAAUUUUUUUUUUCCUCUCCAUUUUACAGUAAUGUAAUUGAACGAUACUAUAAGAAACAAUGCUUAAAUCCUCCUUCAAACAUUUCGGGUCCUCCUCCUCCUUCAAAUAUUCCAAGUGGUCCUCCUCCUCCUUCAAACAUUUCGGGUAGUCCUACUCUAGGAUUAAGUGAUAGCAUGUUUAUUUAUAUUGAAAGAGAUGUAUUUGCUUUUAUUGAUAAUGAGCCUAUUAUGCGACGUUUUUAUGAUAUGAAACCUCGCAAGCAACAAUUUUAAUUUGUUUUUAUUGAUAAAUUAUGGAAGACAUACUAUAUAAAAGAAUUUGAUUGUUGCUAUUUUUUUGAACCUUGCAAUCUUUUAACUUCGCCCCUCCCUCCGUGAAUUCCUGGCUUCGCCGCUGCCUUGGAGUAGCUCAGUUGCUCGCCUAGGCAAAAAUGAACUACCCCAGGCCCUAGACCAUGUGGAACAAGGUUGACACUGAUGGGAGCACAAUUAAAAGUUAUAAAUAAUUAAUUACAAAUACAAAAAAAUGAAUAAUUUAUAUUUUAUAAAAAGAAUUCAUAUAAAUACUUAACUAUGUUGUACAUCACAUUUCAAUAUUUUCAAAUAAUUUGAAUCAAUUUUUUGUUAUUAUCCAAAAUUAAAAAUAUUUUAUUUAUAGUUUUAUAAAUAGAUAAAAAAUAUUUUAAUACCAAUAGCCUAGGUUAUUCAGUUUAAAAGUGGAGAUAUACUUGAGCAAUUACUAUUCACUUGCGAGGAUUGAAUUGGCUAUUGCCCAUGUGAUUUUUUAAGGGUGCAAGUGCUAUAUGAACUUUGGCCCAAUUGGCAGGGUCGAUCUUGAGAUUUUUUAAGCCUAGGGCAACACAAAAAAUGUGCCCUUUAAAUUAUUUUCAUUAAAAAAUAAAAAACGAAAAGCAGUCACUUAGUACUACGGUCUAGUGAUAGUUUUUUUCACUUGUAAGUAAGAAGUUUGAGGUUCAAUUCUCGUCAAAGACAAAUAUAACCGCAUUAUUGUUAGCCUAUUGUGAGACUUAGCCCACCCCCCACCCCAUGUAGAUAAUAUUGUUUGUUUUCUGUCACCCUUGUCCUUUUGCCAUUUAGUACUACAAUUUAGUGAUAUUCAUUUUCACUUGUAAGUGAGAGGUCUUAGGUUCGAUUAUUGCCAAUGGUGAAUUUGAAUCACAUUUUUGUUAGCCCAUUGUGAGGCUAAGCCUAUCCACUUACCUUUAAUGUAGAUAAUAUCGUUUGUUAAAAAAAAAGAUCAGUGAUGCUCUUGUGCCAAUAGAAUUAAUUACUUUUAUACCAAAUUUACCAUAGCAAUCAGCCCCAUUAUUUUUUAGGGAACUUUAACGAAAAGCACCCGGUACUGUUUACUUUAACGAAAAACCACAUUUUUACACUAAAAAGUCAAUUCUGGUACUAUUCACUUUACCUUUUAUUUUGUCCGUAUUAUUAAAACCCUUUUCAUUAGUUUUCUUAUUUUUUACUGCGUUCCUAUUUUUUUUACCCAAAAACGCGGCCACCAACGGCCCAUUUGGUUCCUCAACCCAAAACACCCGCUUCUCUCUCCCACUAGGGUUUUAGACUUUUUUGGAGGUUUUGCCACUAGAAACCCUCCAGUUGCAGGCUCUUCGUUCUGAUUUGAUCGGAAUCCUCGAUAGCCAUUCUUCUUCUCUCCGAGUAUUGUUGCCGACGAAAGGCAGAGCACAAGCAAUGGCGGGCCUCGUUCCUCCUCCUCCUCCAACCGCCGCGGCUGAUACGAUUCCGAAGCCGAAAGAGGAUGAGAAAGUGGAUUACUUGAAUCUUCCUUGCCCUAUUCCCUACGAGGAGAUCCACCGUGAAGCUCUCAGUCAGUCUCUCUCUCUCUCGCUCUCGCUCUUUCCUCCAUUAUUUUCAUAUUUCAUUAUCUUUCUAGUUUAUCUUGCAUUGUUUUUUGAUGUGCAAAUUAUGGAGAUUUGUGUUUAUUCUUGUUAAUAUUUAAAGUUUAAACAUUUGCUCUUCUGGGUUUUUCUUUUACAUGUAAUUCAUGAAAGUUUUAUUGUGAAUUAAUCUGUUAUAUAUCUUAUAUUUGAAUUAUGAAUUCUCGGAGAAAUACAAUUGUAUUAGGUCUUUUAGCUAUCGUUUUGGUGGCUCAUGUUACGUCACCCGAUUUUAGAAACCAAAGGGAAUGACUUUUUAUUUUUGGGUUUACUUGGAAAGGAAAGAAGUGCUCUUUGAGUGUUGAGUCUAAGACGGGAUUAUUUUGUACGUGUAUGCAGUGUCUUUAAAGCCGGAACUGUUUGAGGGGAUGCGCUUUGAUUUCACUAAAGGACUCAAUCAGAGGUUCUCACUCAGUCACAGGUCUGAUCAGACUUCCAAUUCAUUCCCAUCAUCAUUACGUUUAAUUCUUAUUAUUUAGAUACUGAUCUGAAUCGUAACGCUCCUUUGACAACCAACAAUCAGCGUGUUCAUGGGACCUACCGAGGUUCCUUCACAAUCUCCCGAAACUAUUAAAAUUCCCACUGCUCACUAUGAGUUUGGUGCCAACUUUAUAGAUCCAAAGGUAACUAACUGUCUUAUGAAAUUGAUCUUUUCGGAUACUUUUCUAUGGCAAUAUGAAUUUAAACUCUCAUUUAAACAUAUGCUAACAUGCAGUUGAUGCUUUUUGGGAGAAUCAUGACUGAUGGGAGGCUUAAUGCAAGAGUAAAGUGCGAUUUAUCUGAGAAUCUUACUUUGAAGGCCAAUUCUCAGGUGAUUUGGAAGACUGUUGAAGCGCUUUAUCCCCUUUUUUAUUUGCAAAGUUUGUGCCGACAAUCUGUAAUGUCUAAGUUAGUUAGUUAACUUUUCUGUGCUUCUUUCCAGCUUACCAACGAGCCUCACAUGUCACAUGGCAUGGUCAAUUUUGAUUACAAGGUAUGUUGCUGACUUUGUAAUAUCUUUCAGUUAAUUUUCUUUUAUAUAAUGGUGUUGCUACCAAGACGAGGUUAAACUUCUCUCAUGGCAGUGAUUAUGAAAGAACUUUCAUAUAGCUAUUUUAAUUCUAAGUACCUGUUUGGCACAACCUUUUCAGCAAUGUAAGAGUUUUGCUGUAAUAAAGGCACUUUUCUUUGUUUACUAUGUCGCUUCACAGCACUUGAAAUGAAACUUCAUGUUAGGUUCAUGCAAAAGCUAAAAAUGCUUUAUGUGUUAUAGAAAUGAGACAAUUGUAUCAAAUCAAGCUAAGAACUGUUUGUGGAGAAGCUCUAAGUUGUAGCUUUUCCAAUAGCUAAGAAACAUCUUAUGCUGGAAGCAGUUGCCCUCUUUAAUUAUUUCUUCUGUGAUUGACAAAGUUAACCUUUUAACUUUCAUCAAUGCCCUUUUCACUCUUGAAAAUUAAUCAGUAAUACGGAUUGCUAGUUGGUUGGUUCAAAAAUUGUUUCAUGGUUGCUUAUUGGGUCGAAUAAGUUUUUAUAUUGUUGUUGUCUGGUAAUUUGUAGAGUGGAUAGAAUGAGAGUUUGGGUGGGAGAUCUUUUUUCGAAGCUUGCCUUCUUGGUUGUUUAAUGUUAUUGAUGUCCAGGUACCAUAAUGGAACCAUUUACUGGCUUCAUUUGAUACGGGUGAAUUGGGAUUUUGGUUGUAGACAUUUAGGAGGUGCUUAAAUGAGGUAGUACUGAAAUGAGCAGAUUUCAAGAAGUUUGAAGCUAGAGUCUUCAGCAUCCUACUUGUAUGUCUUAUUUGAAACUUAUGUCUCACUUUGACACAGUUCUAGAAUUUCUACCACCGUGAAGGGGAAGCUUCUUGCAUGGAUUUUGCUCAUGGUAGGGCUAACAUGUGCAGUUUGAUACAAAGACAAGCAAAUUGGUGUAUUUCAAUUUUCACCUCAUUGGUGCAUUUUGUAUAAGCAGGGGGAGGUGUUUGGAUUAUAUAUCUGUGCGCUUUCCAAUAUCUCUACAUUAUGGUAGAAUUUAUGCAUGGAGGUCAGUGAGUUGGGUGGUUACGGCAUCCACUGGUAAGUGAUAAGCCUUUUGGUGAUGGGAACAAGGCUAAAGCCCUUUUGAGAAUUUACCUUUUGGUGAUGGGAAUAAGGCUAAAGCCCCUUGAGAAUUUAUUGUGCUGGUAAAUCGAGGAGUAUGUAGGGGUUUGGGAAUGACCGCUAGUCUAGAGUUAGGUUUUGGGAUUUGAUUUGGUCAUCUGUUUCUAUGGAAUUUAGGGGGUGUUCUGUUUCUACUGUUCUAGAUUGUAAGGCAUUUGUGUCUUAAUUGUUUCUUAAUGAAGUUUUAUGGUAAAGUAGGUCUGUGGUGUUUUGGCUUCAAUUUGGACUCCUUGUCCACUGUAUUGAAAAAAAAAACCACGAUAUUAAGUACAGGCUAUUAGGAUCGAUUGGAUUGAUCUUUGAUCUGCUUUAGAGAUUAAGAACAAGAGCUUUGAGAAGAAGAGAUUUAGACUCCCCUCCUCCCAUCUAUAUUUUUUCCCUAAUUUUUUCAACAACUGGAACCCAAAAGGAUAACACAGUUAUUGAUUUUUGUCAUGUAUUUUGAGCUAACCACUUUGUAAUUAAUUUUCUAAUCAUUUUUUAUUUAUUUAUGCCCAACAUUGACUUCCUCUGCACAGGGAAAAGAUUACAGGUCACAGUUUCAACUAGGAAAUGGUGCACUGUUUGGAGCAAACUACAUUCAGGUAAAAUAUUGGACAACAUAUUCUGUGUUUAACCUUUUCAUUAGCUUAUGACAAAAACAAAAUUUCAUAUCAUGAUAAGUUACUUAUUGUUGGCUAAUCUACAUAUAUUAAUUAUUGCCAAAUGGAUUCUACAAGGUUUCCUUAAUGUAAGAGGGUCCAUUUUUUGUUCUCCUUCUGGGCUUCUGUAUCUUUGGAGUUCUGAAGAGUAUUUUUUUCUUGUAAAUCUGUGUUAAUUGGCAAAGCUUCUGUAAUUUUGCUAUUUGAUAGAUUUGUUUGUUUGUUUUGUUUUGUGUAAUUUUGCUAUUUGAUAGGUUUGUUUGUUUUGUUUUGUUUUAUGUAAUCGCUAUUUGAUAGGUUUUUUUCUUGUCACCUCUCAAGGAAGAAAAAAGUUGUUCUUAUAUUUAUUUUAUAUGGAUUGUGUAUUUCACAACGUUUUGGGAAAGCACUUAAUACAAAAAGGCAGAAAUGUAAAAAUCUGUAUUAAUUAUACUAAUGUAUUAAUGUAAUCAUGUUGGAGAUCAACCCUGGUAUUUGAUUACCAUAUUUAACCGAGUAAGAUUUUCUUGUUCCUCCCCUGACCAUAUUUAACUAUGUGAUGACCAUGUUUUUUUGCCAAUUAUUAAUAACUGCUUGUUUACUUGCUUUUAUUUAUCAUUUUCUUCGUUUUCCCAGCUUUUAUCAUUUCUAUAAAUCUAUUAAGAUGUGGAAGCUGUUAUUGGCACUCCAAAAAGGUCAUCUUGCAAUCCAAGGGAGAAAUUGCACUUCAAGUGCAGGAUGACUUUUUAGUGUGCUAAUAACAGUUCCUAAGAUUUUGCCAAAACCGUUUUAGCCAUUAAAGCCCUUUGAUUUUAAUUUGAGCAUGAACCAAAGGUAAAUGGAGCAAUAAAUGUAAGUAUAUAAGAUAAUUACAGUAUUGACUCAAAAUUUGUCAUCUUCCAAUUGGUAGUGGCACGUAUUAUGAUUUAUAGUGGCAUUUAUUAUGUAUUCUGGAUUGUUUUUCUCUGUAAUUGAUUGUUCCAUUUAAAUUCUUAGUGAUAAGCAUAUUUUGUUGCCUUCAUGCCAAUGACACAUCUUCUUCUCUCUGUGAAAGUUUGAAAGUGGGAUUUUUUAUUGAUUUACCUAGUGCAUUUCACCAAUCUUUUGAGUGCUUAUUAAUUUUCAGAGUGUGACCCCCCAUCUCGCUUUGGGCGGUGAAGUGUUCUGGGCUGGUCAGCAUCGGAAGUCUGGUAUUGGCUAUGCUGCUCGGUAUAACACAGAAAAGAUGGUAUACUUCUUGAACCCUUAAAUUAUAACUUCCUGAAUAUGCGACAUAAUGUUUUAAUUGAUUCCCACUGUUGUUUACUCAUUAAUUCUUGCAAAUAAGAUAUUAAUUUGUUACAUUCUGGCACCAGAAAGGGCAUGCAUCAAGAUUCAUGUAUCUAGAAUGUAUAUCAGUAGUUAACUGCAUGCUUUCUCACUAUUGUUUCUUUUUCCAAGUACCUUCUUUGUUUUAGAUGAAUGCCACAAUUGUUUAGGUAAAGCUAAAACAUCAUGAAAUUUUUUUCAUUUUUCAGAUUUAAAGUUGAUUUUGUUAAGUUCAAUGUAUGCAGUUAACUAAAGGGAAUAAAGAGGGAAAAGUAUUGCUUGAAGUGAAAUUUAUAUUUGUAGCUCAUUUUGAUUGCAAUGUUAGUUUUCAAAAUUAAUCUUAUGAAACUCUUAAGGUUGUAAGAGUUGGUUAAAACAAUGAUUUGAUGAAAUAAUUGGAAAUAAGGGAAACUAACUAGUUGUCAAGUAAUAGUAGGAUUGUCCAUGUUGCAGCCUCAUGGUCUCUAUUCUAGAGGAAAAGCGGCAAAUAUCCCGCACAUUAAAACUAAUGCUAAUAUUUUCAUGAAGUUCAAGUCAGCAUUACACUUUAGUUCAAACUUUUGAGAACCACAGGGUCUGGCUGUCCAUAUGGGAAGGCAUUGAGGUUGAAGUAGAAUAGAAUAAAAAGUUAUAUGUAUAUAUGUAUGUAUUGCUUACCUCAUAUUCCACACAUUUUCGAUUUGCAUUUGCGUGAGACCUUAAUAAUUUUAUUUUUGAUUUUGGGUAAAUCACAUUUUCCCCCCUCAACUUUUCGUCCAAUUUCAAUUUCAAUUUCAUACGUCUUCCAAUUUUUUUUUUUAAUUUCAUACCAAUGUCUCACAUACCAAUUUCAUACAUCCGUCUCAAUUUCUGUUAGUUUCACUGUUUUCUCCUCAUGUGGACCUUGCAGGCCCCACAAAAUUUGUGCCACAUUGAUAAAAAACAAGUAGUCCACUCCCGAAAGAAAAAAAAACUCAAAAUUGCAGCACACCCUAAUUCUUGGAGGAAAUUUCAAAACAAAACAGAAAGCAAAGAAUUACAAAACAACUUGAGACCUAAUAUUGCUAAUUGGUCUUCAUAAUCAUCUUUGGUACUUCAUGAAUGUUAUAAAUGGAUUUCAGCUUCUUAGCUGCUUUAUUAGUUGUUAAGGGCACAUGGCCAACAUUUUUCCAUGGCAGUAACCAAUAACCAUCUCCGGUGAGGCCUGUUCUAUUAACAAAGGUGAUAUAGGGUCAUAAGAUUUUAAAGCCCAAGAUGUUGAACCUUGGAAGGUGAACCUCGGCUUGUAUACUGAAUGAACCUAAGUAGGGAGUAUUCCAACUGUUGUAUGACUGGGCAGCUCCAGAACAUAUUCCACGGGAUUUUGUUAUAUAUUUCCUGGCUGAUUGUUUUAAUAGGAGAUUUUGACUCGAGUAACUGUUGUGUGAUCCAUACCUUAAUCCAACUCGUCUUUGCGCCCCCAGGUUGCCACAGGGCAAGUCGCUAGCACUGGAAUGGUUGCUCUUAGCUAUGUACAAAAGGUUUCUGAUAAGGUGAGCAAAGUUGAUCUAUGGUUGAACAUAUUUUACUUUUUAUGUUGUUGGAGUAUCUUUCUGCAGUUUUAUUUUUCAUGAUUUAUCCAAGCUCUUUCUUAUAGUGUUUCUUCCUUGAAGGUUUCUCUUGCAUCAGAUUUCAUGUACAACUACAUGUCAAGAGAUGUCACAGCUAGUUUUGGUUAUGAUUACAUUCUUCGACAGGUAGCUUUCGAAUUGUUAAUGUUCAAAUAUUUCAUUGAAAUAAAUAGACAUUCUCUUUUUCUUCUUCUUAGUUCUUAUGCUGUGGUCACUAUAUGCAUAGUAUGGUACGGUUACACAACCAGUGGUAUCUGAUUGCUGUUGGAGGAUGUGACCACCUAUUCGGUAAACAAUUUCAUGAAGCAUGAUUUCUCGGACAUUAUGGCCUGUUGAUUCUAUGCAGACCUUGAUCCCGACUCAGAUUCUGUCUGGCUACAUAAUUUUUUUUAUGUACAUAUGCAGUCCAUGCAUGUAAAACUCACCAUACACUGCCUUGUCAACCGUAAACCAUAAUCAAUUCCUAUUCAUCUAGAACCUGGAAGCCUUAACAGAUUGGGUUAUUUCUCUUUUUCUUUCGAAUAGUGGUUUCUUAGAUAUGAAUUUGUAAGUAUUGACACUCUUCUUGACUAAUUAUUAUUAUUUUUAAUUGUUGCAGUGCCGUCUUAGAGGAAAGAUUGAUUCCAAUGGCACCGUAGCUGCAUUUUUGGAAGAGCGACUAAAUAUGGGUCUUAAUUUUGUUCUUUCUGCAGAGGUGAGGAUUUAGCAACGUUUUCUUUUUUCUUCUCAGUUAACGAAACCCUGCUUUGCCAGUUCUCUCUUGACAAGUGCGAAAAUAUAUGCCUCGCAGAUUGAUCACAGAAAGAAAGACUACAAAUUCGGGUUUGGGUUGACUGUCGGGGAGUAGAGUGCAGGACCAAUGCUGUUGCAUCAUUCUUGCCGGCAAGAUACUCUCUCUUUAUUUUUCCUUUCGAGUCGAACAAGAGAUCCCUGUAUACUUAAUCUCGGGUAACAUUAUCGCAGGGCGGCAUCAGUUUAGCCAGUUUUAGUAGCCGGUUUCCGUUUGGAGUUCCCUUUUUUCAGUUAGGAGAUGUAGAAUAAGAUUUCGAAAUAAUUCAAAUUGAAUUUCUAGUCACAACUUGAACCUUUGCCCGAAAAACAAAACUCGAUUUCUUGUUGGUUAUUUGGUCUUUCUUGGUCGUACAUCAAAGUAUUUGGAACCUAAAACUUCCCCGGUUCCCUUGAUUUUCCGGUCGACCUCUCCUCUCCUCGUUCUUGUGAUCUUGUGGUGGCAACCGGAAUUCCUCCUUAUUUGCCGAGGAAAAUAAAAACCGACGCGUACGGCGGCGAACCCUAAAAUAACAGUUGCUUGACGAGGAUAAGGAGAGCCUGUGAAGAGGUUGAUGGAGAAGAGAACUUGAAGAUGCAUGUUUCCGGAAAUUGGUCACUGGGUUUUGAAGAACUGGUGGAUUCCUCCCCUUUUUCUGGGUUUUCAACUCGCCCGAAAUAAGCAAAUUUCAAGGAUCAUUUGAAGAUAAAAACUUUUAAUAUCACCAAUUAUUCGAUCAACAUUCAACCACUGCAACUUCAAAAUCAUAAAUUUUCAUCAACUAACAAUAACAUCACUAAAAGUUUAAUUGACAUUCUAUCAUGUUGACAAAAUAUUACGUACCAGCAAAUUGAAAGACGUGACAUCAACUCUAAAAACUAAAGCAUUGUUCCAAACAACCUUAGAGAAAUAUUUUAGUUCAUCUUAAAAUUUUAUUUGUGAUAUUACAUAUUUUUGUACUUAUUAACAAUUAUACUGUGUAAACACAUCAAGUGGUCCAGUUGUAAGGGCGCAGACUGCGAUUCCCCAAUAAACAAAAUAAUGUGGAAGGUCUCAGGUUCGAUGCUCCAAGCUGAUGGGUCUACUUGACUGUGGCCACGGACAUGAUGAAAUUUCCCAUAGCCUCUCUGGGCCUUGGAAAUGAUGGAUAACCGUGGCUUGCCACAAGUUGUCUCCAUUUUAAAGGGAAAAAAUCAAUGAUUACUGUGUGGAGCUAUAUUUUCUCAAAAUGGGACCAAGAAAAAUUAUAACUUAUUAUAAUGUGAAGUUUAUUCAUACACAUAACUGGUUCUAAGUUGGGACCAAAACUUCUUAUGACGAGAUUAUUCCUUAUAGAAUAUACUGAGAGAGGUUUUGCUCUACUUCCUUCUUGCUAAAAUGUGACGUGGACAUUGCCACCACGUAUACAUGGAUUAGUAUGACACGAGUAUACUCUCACGGUGAUAUUUGAUAUUUGUAAUAUAAGAAUAUGUGUUAGUUUAUCUCCAUGCGCUCUUCUAUCAUUGAUAAUAGGACGCUACCUUAAUACAAGAAUUAGUAUGAUCCGAGUAUAUUUUCACGAUGAAAUUUCAUGUCACUAAUGCAAAAAUACAUGUUAGUUUAUCUCUCCGUAUUCUUCAGUCGUUGAUAAUCAGUUGCUACCGUAAUAACGUCUCCCGUAUCAUACAAGUUGCUCCAGAGAAGACAAGAUGAGACAUAACUGGAGCAAGAAAGUGAACAGAAACCCCCUCAGUGUGUGUUGUCAUAAGUUAUAACGCCUUUGAUAACUUUGAACACACACAGAGACACAGCAACAAGCCAUUGAAAUGAAUCCACAGCAUCAGGUGUUGCUUAGCAGAAACUGCAGCAGCACUGUCUCUCUUCUCCCCCACAACUCCUCCGCCUCUAUCAAUCCCACCACCGCAUCUUCAAAUCUCCCAUUUGGGUCAUCGUCAGCCCUCCAUUUCAAUCAACAGCGACCACUUUCACUGCCCCACAAGUUCAAACACACCACUUUCACUGCCAAAAGGGCGGCCCUCCAAACCACCGCAGCUUACUCCGGAGGAGACAGAGAAUUGGCCCCCGAGUCUCCGGCCAAAGAGCUCCGUCGGAUUCUGGAGUUGCCAGGGGUUGUCCAGGCCCCUGCUUGUUUUGAUGCUCUGAGUGCCAAGCUUGUGGAAAGAGCUGGCUUUCAGUGCUGCUUCACUAGCGGUAUAUGAUGUUUUAUUUAUUUAUUCAAUUUGUUGAUGUGGGUUUUCUUCCUUGCUUGUAGAUGUUGACAUAAUUACAUCGUUUGAUUGUAGUGACUUUAGUUUGAAGCAAUUUUUGAUGUGGGUUUGAUUGGGUUUGGCUUGACAUGUUUCUUGUGAGACUCUGGGAGUUGUCUUGAUUGUAUAUACUCGUUGUUAUUGAUACCAUUACUUGUAAAAGGUUUGGGAGGGUGCAGUUGCAAGGUAUAUUGAAAUGAAAAUUUUUCAGCAUUGGUGCACCGAGUAGUAUUACAACAAUAAAGCUAACAUGAAGAAAUUGAAAUGAAAGUUGUUUAAUCAAAGAAGAAAAAUGGUAAGAUUCUAAAGUAUUUCAAACAUAAAAAUCAUACGUCAUCUUUUGUUAUUUGUGUGAAUUUACAGACUGUUGUUUCUUAAGAUCUUAUCUAUUCUAGAUAUUUGGUAAUUAACUGUUGUGCAAUACGUGGAUGGCAAUUUGUUCCCUUUGUAUGUUCUUGUAUCUAUGUUUGUAUGCUCUUUAUAAAAAAAUAUAGUUCAUGCAACUGCAGUUGUGUUAUUGCAUCCUUGGUCCAUUUUUCUGAUGUAUCUUCAUGUUUAAGUGCCUCAAACUCUAAAACAAGCUUAUUACUGCCCCUUUUAUUCUUCCAUUAGGAUUUUCAAUAUCGGCUGCUAGAUUAGCGUUGCCAGAUACAGGUUUUAUAUCCUAUGGAGAAAUGGUGGAUCAGGGGCAACAAAUUACCCAAGCUGUGUCAAUUCCUGUUAUCGGUGAUGGUGAUAAUGGAUAUGGGAAUGCAAUGAAUGUGAAGAGAACUGUCAAGGGAUACAUUAAAGCUGGUUUUGCUGGGAUUUUGCUUGAAGAUCAGGUUAUAGUUAUACUAUUGAAUUGAACUUUUGCAUCCAUGAAUAUUUCCUGUUUUCUUCAUCUUCUCUCUCUCUCUCUCUCUCUCUCUCUCUCACACACACACACACACACUCUCACUCUCAAUAACUGUUGCUGUUACUUUUUUAAAUUAACCAAUGGUGGAACUGGCAAGGAACUUUGGGAUAGGGAGGAGGUGGGAGUAGAUUGGAGAGUAAUUAAGGUUUAAAUUGGGUUUGCUUCUUUUUAUGGAAAUUUCUUCAUGUUUCCCAAUCCUACGUUUAUAGUC
rnacentral:lncRNA from 1 species